UCUCCACGGUCUGUCGGUCGGUCGCCAUUUUUGUAACGUGAUGCGCGACCGACCGGCGUAGCUGAGGUAGUUGGAUUAAGUCGGUGUUAGGCCUGAAGUUUAGCUGCUGGGACGACCUAGGCAACACCAUCUCAGUGUUGCUGUUGCCCUAACUUGUUAGCUAUAGCUAGUAAGUAACCCCAGUUCAGUAGUAGUAGCAGUAGAAGCAAUAAUAGCACUAGUAGUAUUAGUAGAAUUGUACUACUAAGUUGGAACCCUGGAUCUGGCAUUAUCUUGAACCCUUGUAGCCAUGCUGCCUGCCUUGCCCCAUUUCAAUCAUGCCAUGAUCCUCUAUCUCUAUGCCUAUGCCACGAUCUGUCUCCUGAUUGGGUCAAUGCAAGAAUCCUAUGCCUCCUACGAACAUAGGUAGCAAGUUUAAAAAUGCUGAAAUGGAAGCUUUCAUGUUAUUCCGACUUGAAAAUUCAUGCGUGGAUGGGUAGAUGCCAUGUGAUGUACCUAACCUAGCCCUGUGUGCUGUUUGCGUAGCUUGAUUCCAAGCUGAAUUUAAACCAUGGCUUGUCCUUAAACAAGCGAGGAUCUCAGCCGGGGCAAGCUGCCAAACGGGGCGGCGUGGCCAUGUGGUGACGACGAGCAAACGAAAACAAGAACCUGGGGGUUUGGCACGGGCCCGAAUCUCCCCAUGUGCCCAGCUGCCUUUGAUAGGAGACGGGAGAGGAGAGAACGAUGGCGUGGAUCUCGGGAGCACGGCGCACGGGGCAUGUCUUGGCGCCAUGCGGGCGUCGCAGAGGCAACGGUACCGUGUAGAUGGAGAUGGAGAACAGUCUCCUUGUCGAUCCAUUGCAUCCGUCUUGGGGGAUUACAGCCGGUGGCGUAUGCUCUUGAGUCUUUGCCAAGCAAACACCCUUUGCCUUGCAUUGGUAACCUGCAAGUACUGGCUAGUGAACUAACUAUACACAACAAUCAAAAUGUGCUUUUAUUUAUCAUAUCAGGGCCUCUCGUUUCUUGAGAGGAGUUUUGGAAUACAUUAUGUUCAUCUUUCCCCUUGAUUCUUUCUUGAGGGUUUAUGGGCAUAGAACUACAGUAGGCAUCAUGAGUUUCGAGUGUGGUGAGCCAUUCCGACGGUCGCUUUUUUUUCUUCAGAAAAAGAAGUGUGGGAUGCAAUCUCUUAGAUGGAGGAGCAUAAUAAGGCACUGUGGCUAGAUGUGUUUUGGGCUGAGUUCUAUCAGAAAUUAUGUAUGUUAGUAGAGUUAUACAAUGAAAAUUUACCGGAAGCGAAUUUUUGGCUCUCGGGUGCCGGCGUACCCUAUAUGCGCACAUUCUUUUAAUAAUUCUACAAAAAGUCAAAAAAAAUCUGAAUCUUUUUCCGAAUCAAAUAUAAUCAAGUAUUCUACUCAUAUAAAAAGUUUGGCCAAGGAAUGAUUCUCGUGACUUCAGGGCAAGCAAAAAAAAUGACUAUAUAGCCUUUUUUUUGGUAAAAUCUUUGACUCGGGAUACAACGAAACUCAUCCCCUGGCGAAUCCUUUUAUACGAGUACAAUACUUGAUCAUGUUUGAUUCCAAAAAACUUUGAUUUUUUUAUUUUUUGUAUUUACUAAAUUAAUUUUUGCAUAUAGGGUGCGCUUGCACCCGAGAGCACCAGUGUGUUUCCUGAAUUUACCCUUGUAUAAGCUAAACUUCGGCAUUAUCACCCUUCUUCCUAAAACAGAAGUCUAGUUAGAUACAUUAGUCUCAUCCAAUUUGUUUAUUCAAUGUUAGCUUUAAGAUUUUCAUCACACGAUUAGUUGGGACUUUGAGGGAGAAAAGUCGCAACUAUUGUUAAUACAAUUUCAAAAUUUUAGGCCCGACGAGCUGGGCUGAAGGGGCAAUCUUACUGGGCUUUAAGGGAGAAAGUGGCCAAAGUAAAAAAUAAAGAAAAAGGGGGAAAAGUGUGAGGAGAAAAUGAGGAAAGCUUAAAGAUUUUUUACAGUCCUGAUGGAGGAAAAAGAUCAGUGAUCUGACUGAACUAGAAGCCUAGAUUAAAAACACAUAAAUAAAAUUUGAGUUUUAAAAUAUGAUAAAAUCAUAUGUGGCCCAAAAAUAAUCAAAUCAACUCUAAAAGCAAUAAUAAUUUAAAGUACAUCAUGAAAUUUAACUAAUAUCAUCUUGAAAACAUUUUAAAUCCCCAAAUGCUAAGUUUUACAACAUACAAUAAAUGAUAAUUACCUUCAUAAAAUACUGUGAACACUCAGAAAAAGUGAUGAAAUUCAAUGGUGUGUAACUAAAUAUAUAUGAAAGUUUAUUUUAAUAUUUUUCGUCAUACUUCAAGCUUAAAGAGAUGCGUGUCGGACUAAUUAAAUUUUUACGGCUUUAGGGACCAAAGAUAAUACAAGAAUUAAACCAUUCAAGUUUAGUAAAGCAAAGUGCAAUACGAAAAUACCAAAUAAAUUUUAAAAUGCAACAAACCUUCAUGAGUUCAUAAUUUAAUAUGCAAGGUACAGAAACUAUCUUCCGAUAUAUCUUGAAAUGUGAAUUAAAGAUGACAUCAUAAUUUUGAUAUAACCCUGAAACAAAAAUUUAUCUAUAGUACAAACAAAACAAGCAUGUGCAACUACACGGGUGGACAAAUAGAAACUAUCUGAUGGUGUCAUGAAAAUGUGUUUACAUGCAUGCUGUAGCAAAUUGAACAUAUAAACCCUCAAAAACUGCUAGGAAGGAGAAAGCCCUCCACGUCGCCCCCUAAAUUGCUAUGAACAGUGAUGUGCCACCGCCUAUAUAAUUCUGCACCCCGCCGAGGGCAUUUUAGUCUUUUCAUGUGCAGGGGUAUAAAUCACAGCCGCUGCCGUUGAGAAACCCUUGCCGCCGCCUCCCGUCCCACUCGCCCCCCUCCUCGUCGCCCUCCUCUCUCUCUCUCUCUCUCUCUCUCUCUCUCUNNNNNNNNNNNNNNNNNNNNNNNNNNNNNNNNNNNNNNNNNNNNNNNNNNNNNNNNNNNNNNNNNNNNNNNNNNNNNNNNNNNNNNNNNNNNNNNNNNNNNNNNNNNNNNNNNNNNNNNNNNNNNNNNNNNNNNNNNNNNNNNNNNNNNNNNNNNNNNNNNNNNNNNNNNNNNNNNNNNNNNNNNNNNNNNNNNNNNNNNNNNNNNNNNNNNNNNNNNNNNNNNNNNNNNNNNNNNNNNNNNNNNNNNNNNNNNNNNNNNNNNNNNNNNNNNNNNNNNNNNNNNNNNNNNNNNNNNNNNNNNNNNNNNNNNNNNNNNNNNNNNNNNNNNNNNNNNNNNNNNNNNNNNNNNNNNNNNNNNNNNNNNNNNNNNNNNNNNNNNNNNNNNNNNNNNNNNNNNNNNNNNNNNNNNNNNNNNNNNNNNNNNNNNNNNNNNNNNNNNNNNNNNNNNACCCACGCCGGCCGGUUCCGGCAAGCUCCGGCCGCCACACGCCCCCGAGUUCCCCAAGAUCCGCGCGUCCAACCCUCCGUACAGAUCCGGUGCUCAAAGUCUCCACCCUCCCCCGCGGCUAGGAUUGGCGCCUCCCCAAAACUUUGCCGGGAUCCGCCACAACCGGCAACAGCGAGGCCAAAGGUGACCGGGUGCGGCACAGGUUGGUCUCUCCCCUCCUUCUUCGCCCACCCUCUCCUCCUCACCUCACACCAUCUUGUCUUCCCUUUUUUGCAGGUUGCCACGGCACGGACGACGAUGACGAGAGGAGGGGCGCGCACAUCCAUGCGACGGGCCGCCGCCAUGGAGAUGGAGCUCCUUCUCCACACCACGCAGAGGCCCCAUGAGCUCCCUCCUUCUCCGAUGACUCUUCUCAGGCCCGACCCCCUACCUCUCCCCCUCCCUCUCCUAUACUUUGAGCUGUACCAGCUCUGUUUCAGAUUCUGAAGGCCUCUCUACUUGAAUCUGAAACAUGGUUAAUCCCUUCAGGGUAUAUAUGGCAAGUUAGGUGGUUGCUGCAGUCUGAGGUUAAUCCCUUUAUUGGCUGUUGUUUAGGGUUGAUUAGAUUAUCCUUCUCCAAGGAAAUAUGUUAUAUAUUUUUUGACAGCUACGGAUAUGCUUUUCUAAUUGUAGUGUGACAGCUUUAACUGAAGUCUGUUUAGUUCACUCAGCCUUCUAUUCAUUGAUUUUGUAUAUGGUUCUUGAAAGUAGAGCCUGCUAAGCAUUUGAGAGUGUUCCAGUUUGCUUAAUCAUUGCGACUAUGUGCUCUGGGUUAAAAUUCUAAAUUUUCUCUUUGUAGGAGCUUCAGAAGGGUUGCUCACCAACGAACUAGAAGAUUGUUUUGUCCUGGGCACUGAGAUGAUUAAGGAAGAAAUUGCUUAUUCUUGGAUGUGCUAUGCAGAUCAAAGGUGAGAUCAUCCUAUUUUCUUUCUUCAAUCUUAGCCGAAGAUUUAUCUCCGGUUUCCUUGCAUUUGUCAUGCUGGUUCUUUGUGUAGAUGUGCCAGCUAGCUUAGAAUCUGUAUCAUCAUCUUUGUCUUUGAGUAGAACUGAACUGGGAUUUUCCUUUUGCAUCUUAACUGUGUGUCCUUUGGUGUGCUUUACUCUAUAGAGUUAUUACCCUGAACUGAUGAAAGGACUUCUAGAGAAAAUUAUUGAUUGCUAGGGCCUCGAUUUAUUAACUAUUCUAUAUUACAAACUGAAAGCCAAAUCAUUCCUCUUUGGGAUGAAACAGAUCAUAUAUGUGGCGUCGAAAAAGACCGCAGUCUGAUCAUACAAGACCUUAUUGAUUGUUUAUCCUACUUGCAUGGUCUGAUCUAUCCGAGGUGCAACCAAGAUCAGGAGAGAACAAUGUUUCGGUUGUUUCGACUACUUCCUUUCCAGUGCUUAUUAUUUUCCAUUGCAUGAUCUGCAGUUUAAGGUAUACAAAUAGUCAUCCAUGGUCCAGGUGAGGUGCUUCAUACUGUGAAGCAUAAUUGAGGUGCUUCUUUAUUGGUUAGCUCAUGCCUGCACUUUGGUGCUUGGAUUGUGAUCCUUUGUUCUAUGCAGAAAUCUCGAGGUAAGCGUCCGUUCCAGGCUUAGGCUUGAAAAUGCGUUAUAUCGACUAGAGGGGGGGGUGAAUAGGCGAUUUUUACAAAUUCGUCACUACGGAAUUUCAGGAUGAGGAAAUUCCUAAGUCACGAACAACUAGCAGCGGAAUAAGUACUCAGGUGCAUGCAUAACAGAACAGAAGCACGGUUAUCAUGAUGAAAUGAAAACAAACAAUGAGUAUAGGAAGCGUAAACACAGGAUAAGCAGGCUGAAGACAAACUGACUGAAGAAAUUGAACUGAGGAAAUUGAGAAAGUCUUCAGUCAAAGUCUUCAAACAGUAUCGAUCAGGUACAACAACACAGUAAUGAGGAAAUGAAAGGGUUGAGGAAAUAGAACCAGUUAGCUUGGUGAAGACAGUGAUUUGGUAGACCAGUUCCAACUGCUGUAACAGUCGUGCGUCUAGUUGGAGCGGCUAGGUAUUUAAACCCGAGGACACACAGUCCUCACCGUAUUCUCCUUGAACUAAGGUCACACAGACCUCGCCCAAUCACUUGUGGUAAGUCUUCAGGUGAAUUCCAAACCUUCACAGACUCGGUCACUCGGCGAUCCACAAUUUCCUCUUGGAUGCUCUAGACCAUGACGCCUAACCGUCUGGAAGAUGCACAGUCUUCAAAGGUAACAAGCAUCGGUUCCACAAAGGAACAAUCUCUUUAGUGAUGCUCAAUCACUUUGGGUUUGUAGGUGUUUGGGUUUGGGUUUUCCUCACUUGAUGAUUUUCGCUCAAAGUCCUCGGAGGAUGGGAUGCUCUCAAUGACAAGUGUCAGUUUCUCUCGGAGCAGCCAACCAGCUAGUGGUUGUAGGGGGCGGCUAUUUAUAGCCUAGGGAGCAGCCCGACAUGAUAAGACAUAAAUGCCCUUCAAUGAUAUGACCGUUAGGUGGAUAAGAUAUUUUGGGACAGCUGGCGCAUAGCACAACAACGGUCGGAAAUUUGAGGUUCAAAUUCCUCAGGGCUAUCAUGUUCCUCACUUGUAGGCAAUCCGCACUGGCGAAUUCCUAACUCCUCAGUCAUAAUAAAUUCCUUAGAUACCAGAAGAACUUCGUCUCUGUCACUAAAGAAAUUGACUGAACUAUAUGAGAUUUCCAAUGGCUUCACUCGAAGGGAUUGGUAGGUGUAGGAUUUUGAGUUGAGCAUCACUUGGAAACUUUUCCUUAGUUUUACCUCGACCCCCUUUAAUAGUACGGUGUUUCCUAUGACUCAAGAAAGAGAAAAUAAAACUACGAAAACAAAAGUCUUCACGCUUCAUGUUCCUCACAUGAAUAUCAAGUUUUCAUGGUCACACCAAUUUCUUCACUUUCAAAGUCUUCAGAAAGCCAAAGUCUUCAGUUGAAGACAUUCAUUUUUAGGGGUCGACUUUCUCUGUAAAUAUCAAACUCCUCAUAGACUUAUAGACCCGUGUACACUCACAAAUGCAUGUAGCGAUCCAACCUCAAACGGUCAAAUCUCUGUGCAUAAGUGUCAUCCCUGGAUCGGUAAUGCUGACACACACAGUACUUGAAGGAUUUAUAACAGAGUGCAAUCACACACUUAUUACAUCGAAUGUCUCAGGAGAGAACUUAUUACAAUAAUAUGGCUUAAGGCCAUCUAAAUAAGAUAACUGCGGAAGCAUCGAAGGUAAAUGAGUCCAUCAACUCCAACGGCAUAGCUGAGUGCACGACAACGACCUAGCGCACCUUACUCUUCAUCUGAAAAGUCUGCAACAUAAUACGUUGCGGCCCGAAACGGGUCAGCACAUGGAAUAUGCUGACAAAAUAACACUAGAGAGCAAUGAACAAGAUAAAUGCUAACACUACAUGCAUAUAUGGCUGGUGGAGGCUCUAUGGUUAUCAUGUUUUUGUGAAAAGCCAAUUUUUCCCUACUGCAAAGGAAUAUAAUUUAUUUAACUACAAAGUUGGUUGAUAAACAUUGAGAAUGGAAACCCCAUCUCAAUCCCAAUUAAAUAGUAAUUAACAAGCCAACAAAAUUAAUUAAGAGUGUUGAGAUUAAAUCAAUAAUUCAAGAACCAGAUACUGAAGAUGUCCAUAACCGGGGACACGGCUAACCAUGAUUAGUUUGUACACUCUGUAGAGGUUUGCGCACUUUUCCCCACAAGACUCGAUCUCCUCCGUUGUAUUUCUCACACUGCAUGAUGUUUGAGAAACGGAUGACCGAUGCACAGUUUUUCCGAAGAGGCCCCCUUAACCGAUAGAUAGGCUGGUACACCUACAAUCCCCUACAUCUGCUAGCCCAUCAUGGAAAGGAUUCCCACAACUUACUCAACUAUGCCAGAGCCCAUAAUGGCUUGUGGCUGCACACGUAAGUUUUCAGCAUGAAUUAUCUUAUGAUCCCUUUGAGCCUGGGUGGCGAACCAUAGGAUGAUGACACGGAUUCCCCGGGAUCUCCUUGGACAACACUGGAUUCCCCAGGUGCCCACAAACAAUCCACCCAGAUGUGUGUUAAAGUAGCCACCUUAAAGAAACCCUUAGUUCAUAGUAAUACUCACAACUGUCAUGAAUCACUCAAACCAAUCCACGUCUACAAGCAUAGCAUAGCAGUAUAAGCAUAACGUAGUAACUCCCUAGGGUUUAAAGAAAAGACAAUAGGUUCUACCUCAUCAACUACUUCCCAAUACCUCAUCAACUACCUCAUCAACUACCUCAUCAACUACAAGCAUAGCAUAGCAGUAUAAGCAUAACGUAGUAACUCCCUAGGGUUUAACAGAGACGAACAAACGAACGCGUUCGCGAACAGUUGCGUUCGGGCGAACGUCCGCUACUUAGCAAAACCGAACAAGAAAAACCGAUCUAACCGAUCCAACGAAAACCAGAAAAAACCGGGCGACGGCGGCGGUUUUUACCGGUUCUUCAAAAAAGACCGGCGGCGACGAGAUCAAGCGGCGGCGCGGCAACGUCGAGGUGGCGGGGCGUCGCGAGCGGCGGCGUCGGCACGGUGCGGCAGCAAGCGGCGGCGGACGGCGCGAGCGGCGGCGGCGGCUGUAGUGCGGCUCGGGUGGGGAGAGGCGGCGGGGUAUAAAAAGGCCGGGGGGCUUGCCUUGGGGAGGGGGCGGCGGCACCUCGUGUCCGAGCCGGACAUGGCGCGGCGGCAGCGGUCCUCGGGACUCCCGUCCCGAGUCGGCGAGGGAGGCGGCGCGGCUGGGCCUUUGGCCCAGUCGGGCGGGAAAGUUCUUUUUAAAUAAAUUCCGCCGAAAAACAAAAAUCCAAAUAAAAUAUAAAAAGAAUUCUAAAAAUGCCAAAAACAAUUUUCACCAUCUAAAUAAAAUAUUUAGAAUAACGUGAACAUUUUUCUGGCCUAAAAAUGCAAUUUUGGAAAAUGCAUAUUUUUCUAAUUCAAAUAAAAUAGCAAUAAAAUUCCAAAUAAAAUAUAUUUAUUUGAUUUUAACAUUUUUCCUCCAAUUUUCCACUCUUAUUUUGGAGAAGUCAUUUUAUCUCCACUCAUUUAUUUUAAUAAUGGAAAUAUUUUGGAGGGAAAAUAUAUUAAAACCAAAAUGAUCCUCUUUUCAGAUUUGAGAAAAUUCAAAUAUGAAAAUAAAUGAAAUCCCCAACUCUCUCCGUGGGUCCUUGAGUUGCUUAGGAUUUCUAGGAUCACAAACAUAAUGCAAAUAAAAUAUGAUAUGCAUAGGAUGACCUAUGGAUAACAUCCAAAUUGAAAAUUUGGGAUGUUAUAAACCUACCCCCCUUAAGAUGAAUCUCGUCCUUGAGAUUCGGGUUGGCUAGAAAAUAGGUGCGGGUGGUCUUUCCGCAGGUCUUCCUCUCGUUCCCAGGUGGCUUCAUCCUCGGUAUGGUGGCUCCACUGAACUUUGCAAAACUUGAUAACCUUGCUGCGUGUAACUCGGCUGGCAAACUCGAGAAUCUUGACGGGUUUCUCCUCGUAGGUCAGAUCACUAUCCAACUGAAUUGCUUCCAGGGGAACUGUAUCUCUCAGAGGAAUAUCAACCAUCUCUGCAUGGCACUUCUUCAACUGAGAAACGUGAAACACAUCAUGAACUCCGGACAAUCCUUCGGGUAACUCCAAUUUGUAGGCCACUUCUCCCAUACGUUCCAAAACACGGUAUGGUCCUACAAAUCUCGGGGCUAACUUUCCCUUAACUCCAAAUCGUUUAACUCCUCGCAGAGGUGACACACGAAGAUAUGCUCUGUCUCCGAUCUCAUAGACUACCUCCUUGCGUUUGGAGUCUGCAUAACUCUUCUGCCUGGACUGAGCUACCUUUAGUCUAUCGCGAAUCAACUUAACCUUCUCUUCGGACUCCUUGAUCAGAUCCGGUCCAAACAACUGACGGUCUCCAACUUCAUCCCACAUCAACGGUGUCCUGCACCUUCUCCCAUACAAAGCUUAGAAAGGUGCCAUCUUCAAACUAGCUUGAUAACUGUUGUUGUACGAGAACUCCGCGUAAGGUAAAUUAUCAUCCCAACUAGAUCCAUAAUCUAGCGCACAAGCUCUCAACAUGUCCUCCAGAAUCUGAUUGACUCUCUCGGUCUGUCCAUCUGUUUGCGGAUGAAAGGCUGUACUAAACUCUAGCCUGGUACCCAAAGUCUGGUGCAACAGAUGCCAAAACUUCGAGGUAAACUGUGUUCCUCUAUCUGAUACGAUGGUCCUCGAAACUCCAUGCAGACACACGAUCCUGGUCAUAUAUAUAUCUUGGCCAACUUUGCACUCGUAUAGGUGGUUUUCACUGGGAUAAAGUGAGCCACUUUGAUCAAACAAUCCACUACUACCCAGAUGGAAUCAUAUCCCGAUCGGGUCCUGGGUAAUCCGGUGAUGAAAUCCAUGCCAAGCUUGUCCCACUUCCAUUCGGGUAUCGGCAUAGGCUGCAAUAAUCCUGCUGGCUUCUGAUGUUCUGCCUUCACUCUCUGACAUACAUCACACACGGCUACAUACUCGGCAAUAUCCUUCUUCAUACCAGUCCACCAGAAACGCUCCUUCAAAUCCAAAUACAUCUUGGUGUUUCCGGGGUGUAUCGAGUAUGGCGAGUCAUGAGCUUCCUGAAGUAUUAACUUCCUGAUCUCUGCAUUAUUGGGCACAUAUACACGAUCCUCAACCAUAAGGUUUCGUGCUCAUCCUCACGAAAACCCUUGGCUUUUCCUUUGCUCAUCUUCUCCUUUAUCUGAGCAAUUUCCUUGUCAUCCUUUUGAGCUUCUUGAAUCUUUCCCAAUAAUGUUGACUGAACCUCCAUUGAUGCGACAAAACCUCUUGGAACUAUCUCCAAACGAAGUUCCUUGAGAUCGUCAACUAACUCCUGCAGUAAUCCGCCGCUUACGAGGGUAUUGACAUAACUCUUCCGGCUCAAAGCUUCUGCUACGACAUUGGCCUUUCCUGGAUGAUAAUGCAGCUUCAUAUCAUAAUCCUUUAUAAGCUCCAACCAUCUCCUCUGUUUGAGAUUUAGCUCCUUCUGAGUGAAAAUGUACUUCAAACUCUUAUGAUCAGUGUACACAUCGCAGCGGUUUCCAAUAAGAAAAUGUCUCCAGGUCUUGAGCGCAUGCACUACGGCUGCUAACUCCAAAUCAUGGGUGGCAUAAUUCAAAUCAUGUGGUCGAAGCUGUCGUGAGGCAUAUGAAACAACUCUUCCGUCCUGCAUAAGUACUCCUCCAAGUCCUAAGCGAGAAGCGUCGCAAUACACUUGGAAAUCCUUGCGUAUAUCCGGCAGAAUUAGCACUUUCUUCAACUCCUGGAAACUGGCCUCACAUCCAUCCGUCCAUUUAAACUUAGUGUCCUUCUACAACAAAUCCAUCAUGGGCUUCACAAUCUUGGAAAAAAUUCUCAAUGAAUCUCCGAUAAUAUCCCACGAGUCCUAGAAAACUAUGGAUCUCUCCUACUGAGGUGGCAACCAAUCAGUGACUGACUGAACCUUGGUAGGGUCUACUGCUAUACCUUCACCCGAUAUAACAUGUCCAAGGAAUCCAACUUCCUUCAACCAAAACUCGCCUUUGCUGAACUUGGCAUAUAGCUGAUGUUCCCUGAGCUUCUCAAGAACUAAACGCAAAUGCUGCUUGUGCUCCUCUUCAUUCUUCGAGUAUACCAAAAUAUCAUCAAUGAACACCACAACAAACUUAUCCAAGAACUCCCUGAACACCUUAUUCAUCAUACUCAUGAAAUAGGCAGUGGCAUUUGUCAAUCCAAAUGACACAACCAUGUACUCAUAUAGCCCGUACCUUGUGGUGAAAGCUGUCUUAGGUAUAUCCUGUUCUCGGAUCUUCAGCUGGUGGUAUCCUGAUCGCAGAUCAAUCUUGGAAAAUACUUUAGCUCCUUGCAGCUGGUCAAACAAAUCGUUGAUCAUCAGUAGUGGGUACUUGUUCUUGAUCGUCACUUCAUUCAAUGCACGAUAAUCAACAACCAUUCUCAAAGAUCCAUCCUUCUUCUCAACUAAGAGCACUGGGGCUCCCCAUGGUGACGAACUUCAUCGAAUGUAACCUUUCUCCAAUAACUCCUUAAUAUGCUUCUUAAUUUCCUCCAGAUCAUUUGCGGGCAUCCAGUAUGGUCUGUUUGAUAUCGGUCCGGUGCCUGGCAACAGCUCUAUCAAAAACUCAAUGUCUCGAUCCGGCGACAUGCCUGGUAGUUCCUCUGGAAAUACAUCCGGGUAAUCCUUCACUACAGGCACUUCCUCCUAAACAACUCCUGAGAGAGAAUUUACUUGGGUCCUCCUUGGCGCAUGCCUAGACACAUACUAGAUCCUUUUUCCCUUCGGGGUGGUGAGUAAAAUUGACUUACUAGCGCAAUCGAUAUUUCCUCCAUACAUCGAUAGCCAAUCCAUGCCUAAUAUCACAUCCAAUCCUUGUGACUCCAAAAUUAUCAGGUCUGAGGGGAAAACAUGCCUACCUAUGGUCAAUGGCAUCUGAAAACAUCCACUACUUGCCAUAUACUCCGCUCCAGGUGAGCUUACUAACAUAGGUGUCUUAAGAACUUUGGUGGGCAACUUAUACUUAUCCACAAACCCCCUCGAAAUGUAUGAAUGCGAUGCACCAGUAUCAAAAAGAACGAUUGCAGUAAAUGACUUAACCAAAAACUUACAUAUAACUGCAUCUGGCUGCUCUUCAACCUCCUCCACACUAAUGUUGUUCACUUGUCCCCUAUUGAAAGGGUUGGGCUUCUUCCCAGAGCUUCCAUUUCCGUUGCCAUUCUUCAACUCAGAACAGUCAUUGGCAUAGUGCCCAGUCUUCCCGCACUUGUAACAGGUGACAUGACUCAGAUCCUUUUUAGCGGGUGUUGCUGGGUUGGAACGGUUCUGGUUGCUGCUUGCUCCAUUCCCAUUUCCAUUCUUGGGGCCAUUGUGAUUAUGCAAACUUCCUCCAUUGUGGGUGUGGCCUCCAUGGUUAUGGGUAUAUCCUCCCGAGUUCGGGGUAAAAUGAGGCUUCUGCGACGCUCCAGAAUUAUACUUCCCUUGUCCAUAUUUCCUUUUGCAGCUCUCUAUCUGCUGCUGCUUCCCUUCAAUCAUAAGAGCCCUGUCUACCAACUCCCGGUAGUUAGCAAAUGUAGCCACCAUCAACUGCAUACUCAGCUCAUCAUUCAGCCCUUCCAUAAACUCCUCCUGCUUCGCGGCAUCUGUGGCCACAUCAUCUGGGGCAUAGCGAGCUAACUUACUGAACUCAUCCACGUACCGCCCCACAGUACGGUUUCCCUGGCGUAAGUUGCGAAACUCACGCUUCUUCAUGCUCAUAGCUCCAGUUGAGACAUGUGCGGUGCGGAACGCCUGCUGAAAUUGAUCCUAAGUAACAUUGGCUAUGGGGAACGUGGUUGUGUAAUUCUCCCACCAUGAGGUUGUGGGUCCAUCCAGUUGGUGUGCGGUAAAGUGCACCUUCUCAGCAUCUGUGCAACUUGCGGUGGUCAACUCCCUUCCAAUCCUGCGUAGCCAGUCAUCAGCAACGACCGGCUCGGUACUACUGGAAAACACCGGCGGAUUCAACCUCAGAAAAUGGGCUAAGUUGUCAACUCGAGGUGGUGGCGGUGGGUUGUUGUUGUUGUUGUUGUUGUUUUUUUUUUGUUGUUGUUGUUGUUGCCUUGAUUCUGGACUAGCAACUGCAUCAAGGCAUUCUGCUGUUGGAUCAACUGAGUGAGAUCCGAUGGGAAAACAAAUCCGGGGUCACGUCUCGGAGGCAUCUGAUGGGUUUAGAGGGGAGAGAUUAGAAUAGAAUGAGGUCUAAAGAGAAAGCACUACCCAUAUGCACAUGAGACAAACACACUCAUAUCACACCACUCAAUUCAAACAAGGGCAUACAAUCGGUCUAAACUGUCGUUACGAAAUACUCGGACUACUACUAUAUACAUGGGGGAAUACUACUGAUAAUAUGGUGGUCGACUAGAAAUUUUGAUCGGUGGAAGAUUCCAUGAUAUCCGCUCCAGCUUCGUCUUCGUAAUCAUCAUCACUACUGUCGGGGUCGGAGUCGGUGUCGUCGAUGAUGAUGUAGUCCUCGGGAUGGUCGUCAUCUCCUCCUGGCGCGGGGUCUCCCAUGAAUACUCCUAGCUUCUUCUUCAGGUCUUCAUUCUUCUCUAGUAGCACUGCGAUUUCCUCCUCAUAUGCAUCGCAUGUAGACUUGAGUUCCUCUUCAAGCUCCAUGUUCCUGGUCAUCACCCUCUUCAGAUCUAUCAUGCUUGCGCACAUUUGGUUCUCCUGGCGACGAAUGUGCUGGUUUAACUCCUGGAUGAAGGCUGCAAUGGCUCUGUCCCUCCUGGUGCUAAUCAUCUCCCAUUGCUCAUCUCGGCGCCCACAUAUCUGGUAGAUGGUGUCCUUAAGAUCCUUGUUGUAGACUUCGCCGAUGCGUCCCAUGGCGAUGUGGGCUGCCAUGCUCUUUCCUAGACUCCAGGUUGGUGCAUCAAAGGAAAACUCUAUGGGCUCAGUAACUGGCGUGAAUGUCCUUCCUGGAACAUGAACUCGAAUCAUCCAACGCUCCUCUUCUGGCAAAGUGGCGGUGUAGGUCCCGGUGAAGCUUGGUAUUUCGAUGUUUAGGUACCUGGUGACUUCCUUUAGGUGUCGUCCAAAGGGCGUGUCUUCAUCCGGUUGAGCAAACUAGUUCCUUGGGUCCGCCAUCUAUAGAGUGGAAAAUGGAGAGGAGUCAGAAAUGAGUAGAGAAGAGUGACCUAUGGCUUAUCUUAGUGGCCGCGUCUACAAUCAACGUGUGCUCUAAUACCAUCUUGUAGCGAUCCGACCUCAAACGGUUAAAUCUCUGUGCAUAAGUGUCAUCCCUGGAUCGGUAAUGCUGACACACAUAGUACUUGAAGGAUUUAUAACAGAGUGACAUCACACACUUAUUACAUCGAAUGUCUCAAGAGAGAACUUAUUACAAUAAUAUGGCUUAAGGCCAUCUAAAUAAGAUAACUGCGGAAGCAUCAAAGGUAAAUGCGUCCAUCAACUCCAACGGCAUAGAUGACUGCACGACAACGACCUAGCGCACCUUACUCUUCGUCUGAAAAGUCUGCAGCAUAAUAUGUUGCAGCCCGAAACAGGUCAGCACAUGGAAUAUGCUGGCAAAAUAACACUCGAGAGCAAUGAACAUGAUAAAUGCUAACACUACAUGCAUAUAUGGCUGGUGGAGGCUCUAUGGUUAUCAUGUUUUUGCGAAAAGCCAAUUUUUCCCUACUGCAAAGGAAUAUAAUUUAUUUAACUACAAAGUUGGUUGAUAAACAUUGAGAAUGGAAACCCCAUCUCAAUCCCAAUUAAAUAGUAAUUAACAAGCCAACAAAAUUAAUUAAGAGUGUUGAGAUUAAAUCAAUAAUUAAAGAACCAGAUACUCAAGAUGUCCAUAACCGGGGACACGGCUAACCAUGAUUAGUUUGUACACUCUGUAGAGGUUUGCGCACUUUUCCCAACAAGACUCGAUCUCCUCCGUUGUAUUUCUCACACUGCAUGAUGUUUGAGAAACGGAUGACCGAGACACAGUUUUUCCGAAGAGGUCCCCUUAACCAAUAGAUAGGCCGAUACACCUACAAUCCCCUACAUAUGCUAGCCCAUCAUGGAAAGGAUUCCCACAACUUACUCAACUAUGCCAGAGCCCAUAAUGGCUUGUGGCUGCACACGGAAGUUUUCAGUAUGAAUGAUCUUACGAUCCCUUUGAGCCUGGGUGGCGAACCAUAGGAUGAUGACACGGAUUCCCCGGGAUCUGCUUGGACAACACUGGAUUCCCCAGGUGCCCACAAACAAUCCACCCAGAUGUGUGUUAAAGUAGCCACCUUAAAGAAACCCUUAGUUCAUAGUAAUACUCACAACUGUCAUGAAUCACUCAAACCAAUCCACGUCUACAAGCAUAGCAUAGCAGUAUAAGCAUAACGUAGUAACUCCCUAGGGUUUAAAGAAAAGACAAUAGGUUCUACCUCAUCAACUACUUCCCAAUACCCAUAUGUUAAACAGAUUCUACUCAUGCAAUGUGUGAGGAUUGAAACUAAUGCAUAAAAACUGGGUAAUAAUGGAUAUGAUCAAAGUGUUACUUGCCGUGCUGAUGAUCCGCAAACCAUAGAGACUCGUAGUAGCACGCUUCGCACUUUGGAAAUUCUAUCGCAAACAAACAAUAGCAUACAUAAGCACUCAAGCAUAGAUGCAAAGGUAAAACUCAGAUGAGAAAGUCCAAACUGAAAGUUCAACUGAAGUGCUUCGAUUUGCAAAAAGAAUCAAUCAAAUCAGGGCUACGAAACUCAAACUACGAUCAAAAGAAAUUCAAAUUCAAAUCUUCUUGAAACCAAAUUUUAAAUUGUCAAAAUCAUGUUCAAGUUGGUUAACUGGAAAGAGGGGUUCGAGACGAAGAUUUUGGCGUUGGUUUCACUGGAUUUGGACGAAUGGUUAAAAAGUAACGAGGAUUUGAAGAUCAGGGGCUAAUCUGUGAUAAAAAUAAUCGCAGAUAGGUCCCUGGCUGAAAAUAAAAUAAAAUAAAGGACUAACGAACGAACGUUCGUUAACAGAGACGAACAAAUGAACGCGUUCGUGAACAGUUGCGUUCGGGCGAACGUUCGCUACUUAGCGAAACCGAACAAAAAAACCGAUCUAACCGAUCCAACGAAAACCAGAAAAAAACCGGGCGACGGCGGCGGUUUUUACCGGUUCUUCGAAAAAGACCAGUGACGACGCGGCGACAAGAUCCGGCGGCGGCGCGGCAACGGUGAGGCGGUGGGGCGUCGCGGGCGGCGGCGUCGGCGCGGUGCGGCAGCAGCGAGCAGCAGCGGCGGUGGCUGCAGUGCGGCUCGGGUGGGAGAGGCGACGGGGUAUAAAAGUGUUGGAAAUAUGCCCUAGAGGCAAUAAUAAAAUGGUUAUUAUUAUAUUUCCUUGUUCAUGAUAAUUGUCUAUUGUUCAUGCUAUAAUUGUGUUAUCCGGAAAUCAUAAUACAUGUGUGAAUACAUAGACCACAACAUGUCCCUAGUGAGCCUCUAGUUGACUAGCUCGUUGAUCAACAAAUAGUCAUGGUUUCCUGACUAUGGACAUUGGAUGUUAUUGAUAAUGGGAUCACAUCAUUAGGAGAAUGAUGUGAUGGACAAGACCCAAUCCUAAGCAUAGCACAAAGAUCGUGUAGUUCGUUUGCUAGAGCUUUUCCAAUGUCAAGUAUCAUUUCCUUAGACCAUGAGAUCGUGCAACUCCCGGAUACCGUAGGAGUGCUUUGGGUGUACCAAACGUCACAACGUAACUGGGUGACUAUAAAGGUGCACUACGGGUAUCUCCGAAAGUGUCUGUUGAGUUGGCACGGAUCGAGACUGGGAUUUGUCACUCCGUAUGACGGAGAGGUAUCUCUGGGCCCACUCGGUAAUGCAUCAUCAUAAUGAGCUCAAUGUGACUAAGGAGUUAGCCACGGGAUCAUGCAUUACGGUACGAGUAAAGUGACUUGCCGGUAACGAGAUUGAACAAGGUAUUGGGAUACCGACGAUCGAAUCUCGGGCAAGUAACGUACCGAUUGACAAAGGGAAUUGUAUACGGGAUUGAUUGAAUCCUCGACAUCGUGGUUCAUCCGAUGAGAUCAUCGUGGAACGUGUGGGAGCCAACAUGGGUAUCUAGAUCCCGCUGUUGGUUAUUGACCGGAGAGCCGUCUCGGUCAUGUCUGCAUGUCUCCCGAACCCGUAGGGUCUACACACUUAAGGUUCGGUGACGCUAGGGUUGUAGAGAUAUCAGUAUGCGGAAACCCGAAAGUUGUUCGGAGUCCCGGAUGAGAUCCCGGACGCCACGAGGAGUUCCGGAAUGGUCCGGAGGUGAAGAAUUAUAUAUAGGAAGUCCAGUUUCGGCCACCGGGAAAGUUUCGGGGGUUAUCGGUAUUGUACCGGGACCACCGGAAGGGUCAUGGGGGUCCACCAGGUGGGGCCACCUAUCCCGGAGGGCCCCAUGGGCUGAAGUGGGGAGGGGAACCAGCCACUGGUGGGCUGGUGCGCCCCCCUUGGGCCUCCCCUGCGCCUAGGGUUGGAAACCCUGGGGUGGGGGGGCGCCCACUUGGCUUGGGGGGCAAGCCAACCCCCUUGGCCGCCGCCCCCCCCCUCAGAUGGGAUCUCCAGGGGGCCGGCCCCCCCCCUAGGACCCCUAUAAAUAGUGGGGGGAGGGAGGGCAGCAGUAACCUAGCCCCUGGCGCCUCCCUCUCCCUCCCGUGAUACCUCUCUCUCCCGCUUGUGCUUGGCGAAUCCCUGCCGGGAUCCCCGCUACUUCCACCACCACGCCGUCGUGCUGCUGGAUCUCCAUCAACCUCUCCUUCCCCCUUGCUGGAUCAAGAAGGAGGAGACGUCUCUGCUCCGUACGUGUGUUGAACGCGGAGGUGCCGUCCGUUCGGCGCUCGGUCAUCGGUGAUUUGGAUCACGACGAGUACGACUCCAUCAACCCCGUUCACUUGAACGCUUCCGCUCGCGAUCUACAAGGGUAUGUAGAUGCACUCCUUCCUUCUCGUUGCUAGUAAACUCCAUAGAUGGAUCUUGGUGAUACGUAGAAAAUUUUAAAAUUCUGUAACGAUCCCCAACAGUGGUAUCAGAGCCAGGCCUAUGCGUAGUUACUAUGCACGAGUAGAACACAAAGCAGUUGUGGGCGUAGAUGUUGUCAAUUUUUCUUGCCACUACUAGUCUUAUCUUGUUUCGGCGGUAUUGUGGGAUGAAGCGGCCCGGACCGACCUUAGACGUACGCUUACGUGAGACAGGUUCCACCGACUGACAUGCACUAGUUGCAUAAGGUGGCUAGCGGGUGUCUGUCUCUCCCACUUUAGUCGGAACGGAUUCGAUGAAAAGGGUCCUUAUGAAGGGUAAAUAGAAAUUGGCAUAUCACGUUGUGGUUUUACGUAGGUAAGAAACGUUCUUGCUAGAAACCUAUAGAAGCCACGUAAAAACUUGCAACAACAAUUAGAGGACGUCUAACUUGUUUUUGCACCAUAUCCCUUGUGAUGUGAUAUGGCCAAAAGGAUGUGAUGAAUGAGAUAUAUGUGAUGUAUGAGAUUGAUCAUGUUCUUGUAAUAGGAAUCACGACUUGCAUGUCGAUGAGUAUGACAACUGGCAGGAGCCAUAGGAGUUAUCUUUAUUUUUUGUAUCGCCUGCGUGUCAUUGAAUAACGCCAUGUAAAUUACUUUACUUUAUUGCUAAACACGUUAGCCAUAGAAGUAGAAGUAAUCGUUGGCGUGACAACUUCAUGAAGACACGAUGAUGGAGAUCAUGAUGAUGGAAAUCAUGGUGUCAUGCCAGUGACGAAGAUGAUCAUGGCGCCCCGAAGAUGGAGAUCAAAGGAGCAAAAUGAUAUUGGCCAUAUCAUGUCACUAUUUGAUUGCAUGUGAUGUUUAUCAUGUUUUACAUCUUAUUUGCUUAGAACGACGGUAGUAAGUAAGAUGAUCACUUAUAAUAAUUUCAAGAAAGUGUUCCCCCUAACUGUGCAUCGUUGCGAAGGUUCGUUGUUUCGAAGCACAACGUGAUGAUCGGGUGUGAUAGAUUCUAACGUUCGCAUACAACGGGUGUUGACGAGCCUAGCAUGUACAGACAUGGCCUCGGAACACACGCAAUACACUUAGGUUGACUUGACGAGCCUAGCAUGUACAGACAUGGCCUCGGAACACGGAAGACCGAAAGGUUGAGCAUGAGUCGUAUAGAAGAUACGAUCAACAUGGAGAUGUUCACCGAUCUUGACUAGUCCGUCUCACGUUAUGAUCGGACACGACCUAGUUGACUCGGAUCAUGUUUCACUUAGAUGACUAGAGGGAUGUCUAUCUGAGUGGGAGUUCAUUGAAUAAUUUGAUUAGAUGAACUUAACUAUCAUGAACUUAGUCUAAAAUCUUUACAAUAUGUCUUGUAGAUCAAAUGGCCCACGUUGCCCUCAACUUCAACGCGUUCCUAGAGAAAACCAAGCUGAAAGAUGAUGGCAGCAACUAUACGGACUGGGUCCGGAACCUGAGGAUCAUCCUCAUAGCUGCUAAGAAAGAUUAUGUCCGAGAAGCACCGCUAGGUGAAGCACCCAUCCCAGAGAACCAAGACGUUAUGAACGCUUGGCAAUCACGUGCUGAUGAUUACUCCCUCGUUCAGUGCGGCAUGCUUUACAGCUUAGAACCGGGGCUCCAAAAGCGUUUUGAGAAACAUGGAGCAUAUGAGAUGUUCGAAGAGCUGAAAAUGGUUUUCCAAGCUCAUGCCCGGGUCGAGAGAUAUGAAGUCUCCGACAAGUUCUUCAGUUGUAAAAUGGAGGAAAAUAGUUCUGUCAGUGAGCACAUACUCAAAAUGUCUGGGUUACACAACCGCUUGUCUCAGCUGGGAGUUAAUCUCCCGGAUGACGCGGUCAUUGACAGAAUCCUUCAGUCGCUUCCACCAAGCUACAAGAGCUUUGUGAUGAACUUUAAUAUGCAGGGGAUGAAAAAGACCAUUCCUGAGGUAUAUUCAAUGCUGAAAUCAGCGGAGGUGGAGAUCAAAAAGGAACAUCAAGUGUUGAUGGUGAAUAAAACCACUAAGUUCAAGAAAGGCAAGGGUAAGAAGAACUUCAAGAAGGACGGCAAGGGAGUUGCCGCGCCCGGUAAGCCAGUUGCCGGGAAGAAGUCAAAGAAUGGACCCAAGCCUGAGACUGAGUGCUUUUAUUGCAAGGAAAGUGGUCACUGGAAGCGGAACUGCCCCAAAUACUUAGCGGACAAGAAGGCCGGCAACACCAAAGGUAUAUGUGAUAUACAUGUAAUUGAUGUGUACCUUACCAGUACUCGUAGUAGCUCCUGGGUAUUUGAUACCGGUGCGGUUGCUCAUAUUUGUAACUCAAAACAGGAGCUGCAGAAUAAGCGGAGACUGGCGAAGGACGAGGUGACGAUGCGCGUCGGGAAUGGUUCCAAGGUCGAUGUGAUCGCCGUCGGCACGCUACCUCUACAUUUACCUACGGGAUUAGUUUUAAACCUCAAUAAUCGUUAUUUAGUGCCAGCUUUGAGCAUGAACAUUGUAUAUGGAUCUCGUUUAAUGCGAGAUGGCUACUCAUUUAAAUCCGAGAAUAAUGGUUGUUCUAUUUAUAUGAGAGAUAUGUUUUAUGGUCAUGCCCCGCUGGUCAAUGGUUUAUUCUUGAUGAAUCUCGAACGUGAUGUUACACAUAUUCAUAGUGUGAAUACCAAAAGAUGUAAAGUUGAUAACGAUAGUCCCACAUACUUGUGGCACUGCCGCCUUGGUCACAUUGGUGUCAAACGCAUGAAGAAGUUCCAUGCAGAUGGAAUUUUGGAGUCUCUUGAUUAUGAAUCAUUUGACACGUGCGAACCAUGCCUCAUGGGUAAGAUGACCAAGACUCCGUUCUCCGGAACAAUGGAGCGAGCAACCAACUUAUUGGAAAUCAUACAUACCGAUGUGUGCGGUCCAAUGAGUGUUGAGGCUCGCGGUGGCUAUCAUUAUGUUCUCACUCUCACUGAUGACUUAAGUAGAUAUGGGUAUGUCUACCUAAUGAAACACAAGUCUGAGACCUUUGAAAAGUUCAAGGAAUUUCAGAGUGAGGUUGAGAAUCAACGUGACAGGAAAAUAAAGUUCUUACGAUCAGAUCGUGGAGGAGAAUAUUUAAGUCACGAAUUUGGUACGCACUUAAGGAAAUGUGGAAUCGUUUCACAACUAACGCCGCCUGGAACACCUCAGCGAAAUGGUGUGUCCGAACGUCGUAAUCGCACUCUAUUGGAUAUGGUGCGAUCUAUGAUGUCUCUUACCGAUCUACCGCUCUCAUUUUGGGGCUAUGCUUUAGAGACUGCCGCAUUCACUUUAAAUAGGGCUCCGUCGAAAUCCGUUGAGAUGACACCGUAUGAAUUAUGGUUUGGGAAGAAACCUAAGCUGUCGUUUCGAAAAGUUUGGGGAUGUGAUGCUUAUGUCAAGAAACUUCAACCUGAAAAGCUCGAACCCAAGUCGGAGAAAUGCGUCUUCAUAGGAUACCCCAAGGAAACCAUUGGGUAUACCUUCUACCUCAGAUCCGAAGGCAAGAUCUUUGUUGCCAAGAACGGGUCCUUUCUGGAGAAAGAGUUUCUCUCGAAAGAAAUAAGUGGGAGGAAAGUGGAACUUGAUGAGGUGAUAGUCACCCCUUCCGAACCGGAAAGUAGCGCAGCGCGGGAAGAUGUUCCUGUGGUGCCUACACCGACUGGGGAGGAAGUUAAUGAUGAUGAUCAUGAAGCUUCGGAUCAAGUUACUGCUGAACUUCGUAGGUCCACAAGGACACGUUCAGCACCAGAGUGGUACGGCAACCCUGUCCUGGAAAUCAUGUUGUUAGACAACAGUGAACCUUCGAACUAUGAAGAAGCAAUGGCGGGCCCAGAUUCCGACAAAUGGCUAGAAGCCAUGAAAUCCGAGAUAGGAUCCAUGUAUGAAAACAAAGUGUGGACUUUGACAGACUUGCCCGAUGAUCGGCGAGCGAUAGAAAACAAAUGGAUCUUUAAGAAGAAGACGGACGCGGAUGGUAAUGUUACCAUCUAUAAAGCUCGACUUGUCGCUAAUGGUUAUCGACAAGUUCAAGGGGUUGACUACGAUGAGACUUUCUCACCCGUGGCGAAGCUGAAGUCCGUCCGAAUCAUGUUAGCAAUUGCCGCAUACUAUGAUUAUGAGAUAUGGCAGAUGGACGUCAAAACGGCAUUCCUUAACGGCUUUCUUAAGGAAGAAUUGUAUAUGAUGCAGCCGGAAGGUUUUGUCGAUCCUAAGAAUGCUAACAAGGUAUGCAAGCUCCAGCGCUCCAUCUAUGGGCUGGUGCAAGCAUCUUGGAGUUGGAACAUUCGAUUUGAUGAGAUGAUCAAAGCGUUUGGGUUUACACAGACUUAUGGAGAAGCCUGUGUUUACAAGAAAGUGAGUGGGAGCUCUGUAGCAUUUCUCUUAUUAUAUGUGGAUGACAUACUAUUGAUGGGAAAUGAUAUAGAAUUCUUGGAAAGUAUAAAGGCCUACUUGAAUAAGUGUUUUUCAAUGAAGGACCUUGGAGAAGCUGCUUAUAUAUUAGGCAUCAAGAUCUAUAGAGAUAGAUCAAGACGCCUCAUUGGUUUUUCACAGAGUACGUACCUUGACAAGAUAUUGAAGAAGUUCAAUAUGGAUCAGUCCAAGAAGGGGUUCUUGCCUGUAUUGCAAGGUGUGCAACUGAGCACGGGUCAAUGCCCGACCACGACGGAAGAUAGAGAAAAGAUGAGUGUCAUCCCCUAUGCCUCGGCCAUAGGGUCUAUUAUGUAUGCCAUGCUGUGUACCAGACCUGAUGUAAACCUUGCCGUAAGUUUGGUAGGAAGGUACCAAAGUAAUCCCGGCAUGGAACACUGGACAGCGGUCAAGAAUAUCCUGAAGUACCUGAAGAGGACUAAGGAUAUGUUUCUCGUUUAUGGAGGUGACGAAGAGCUCGUCGUAAAGGGUUACGUCGACGCUAGCUUCGACACAGAUCUGGAUGACUCGAAGUCACAAACCGGAUACGUGUAUAUUUUGAAUGGAGGGGCAGUAAGCUGGUGCAGUUGCAAGCAAAGCGUCGUGGCGGGAUCUACAUGUGAAGCGGAGUACAUGGCGGCCUCAGAGGCAGCGCAAGAAGCAAUCUGGAUGAAGGAGUUCAUUACCGACCUAGGGGUGAUUCCCAAUGCAUCGGGCCUGAUGACUCUCUUCUGUGACAACACUGGAGCUAUUGCCCUUGCCAAGGAGCCCAGGUUUCACAGGAAGACCAGGCAUAUCAAGCGUCGCUUCAACUCCAUUCGUGAAAGUGUUCAAAAUGGAGACAUAGAUAUUUGCAAAGUACAUACGGACCUGAAUGUAGCAGAUCCGUUGACUAAACCUCUCCCUAGAGCAAAACAUGAUCAACACCAGAACUCUAUGGGUGUUCAAUUCAUCACAAUGUAACUAGAUUAUUGACUCUAGUGCAAGUGGGAGACUGUUGGAAAUAUGCCCUAGAGGCAAUAAUAAAAUGGUUAUUAUUAUAUUUCCUUGUUCAUGAUAAUUGUCUAUUGUUCAUGCUAUAAUUGUGUUAUCCGGAAAUCGUAAUACAUGUGUGAAUACAUAGACCACAACAUGUCCCUAGUGAGCCUCUAGUUGACUAGCUCGUUGAUCAACAAAUAGUCAUGGUUUCCUAACUAUGGACAUUGGAUGUUAUUGAUAACGGGAUCACAUCAUUAGGAGAAUGAUGUGAUGGACAAGACCCAAUCCUAAGCAUAGCACAAAGAUCGUGUAGUUCGUUUGCUAGAGCUUUUCCAAUGUCAAGUAUCAUUUCCUUAGACCAUGAGAUCGUGCAACUCCCGGAUACCGUAGGAGUGCUUUGGGUGUACCAAACAUCACAACGUAACUGGGUGACUAUAAAGGUGCACUACGGGUAUCUCCGAAAGUGUCUGUUGAGUUGGCACGGAUCGAGACUGGGAUUUGUCACUCCGUAUGACGGAGAGGUAUCUCUGGGCCCACUCGGUAAUGCAUCAUCAUAAUGAGCUCAAUGUGACUAAGGAGUUAGCCACGGGAUCAUGCAUUACGGUACGAGUAAAGUGACUUGCCGGUAACGAGAUUGAACAAGGUAUUGGGAUACCGAUGAUCGAAUCUCGGGCAAGUAACGUACCGAUUGACAAAGGGAAUUGUAUACGGGAUUGAUUGAAUCCUCGACAUCGUGGUUCAUCCGAUGAGAUCAUCGUGGAACGUGUGGGAGCCAACAUGGGUAUCUAGAUCCCGCUGUUGGUUAUUGACCGGAGAGCCGUCUCGGUCAUGUCUGCAUGUCUCCCGAACCCGUAGGGUCUACACACUUAAGGUUCGGCGACGCUAGGGUUGUAGAGAUAUCAGUAUGCGGAAACCCGAAAGUUGUUCGGAGUCCCGGAUGAGAUCUCGGACGCCACGAGGAGUUCCGGAAUGGUCCGGAGGUGAAGAAUUAUAUAUAGGAAGUCCAGUUUCGACCACCGGGAAAGUUUCGGGGGUUAUCGGUAUUGUACCGGGACCACCGGAAGGGUCAUGGGGGUCCACCGGGUGGGGCCACCUAUCCCGGAGGGCCCCAUGGGCUGAAGUGGGGAGGGGAACCAGCCACUGGUGGGCUGGUGCGCCCCCCUUGGGCCUCCCCUGCGCCUAGGGUUGGAAACCCCGGGGGUGGGGAGCGCCCACUUGGCUUGGGGGGCAAGCCAACCCCCUUGGCCGCCGCCCCCCCCCUCAGAUGGGAUCUCCAGGGGGCCGGCGCCCCCCCUAGGACCCCUAUAAAUAGUGGGGGGAGGGAGGGCAGCAGUAACCUAGCCCCUGGCGCCUCCCUCUCCCUCCCGUGACACCUCUCUCUCCCGCUUGUGCUUGGCGAAGCCCUGCCGGGAUCCCCGCUACUUCCACCACCACGCCGUCGUGCUGCUGGAUCUCCAUCAACCUCUCCUUCCCCCUUGCUGGAUCAAGAAGGAGGAGACAUCUCUGCUCCGUACGUGUGUUGAACGCGGAGGUGCCGUCCGUUCGGCGCUCGGUCAUCGGUGAUUUGGAUCACGACGAGUACGACUCCAUCAACCCCGUUCACUUGAACGCUUCCGCUCGCGAUCUACAAGGGUAUGUAGAUGCACUCCUUCCUUCUCGUUGCUAGUAAACUCCAUAGAUGGAUCUUGGUGAUGCGUAGAAAAUUUUAAAAUUCUGCAACGAUCCCCAACAAAAAGGGCCGGGGGGCUUGCCUUGGGGAGGGGGCGGCGGCAGCUCGUGUCCGAGCCAGACACGGCGCGGCGGCGGCGCGGCUGGGCUUUUGGCUGAGUCGGGCGGGAAAGUUUUUUAAAAAAAUAAAUAAAUUCCGCCAAAAAACAAAAAUCCUAAUAAAAUAUAUAUUUUUUUCUAAAAAUGCCAAAAACAAUUUUCACCGUCUAAAUAAAAUAUUUAGAACAAAGUGAACAUUUUUCUGACCUAAAAAUGCAAUUUUGGAAAAUGCAUAUUUUUCUAAUUCAAAUAAAAAUUCCAAAUAAAAUAUAUUUAUUUGAUCUUAACAUUUUCCUCCAAUUUUCCACUCUUAUUUUGGAGAAGUCAUUUUAUCUCCACUCAUUUAUUUUAAUAACGGAAAUAUUUCAGAGGGAAAAAUUAUUAAAACCAAAAUGAUCCUCUUUUCAGAUUUGAGAAAAUUCAAAUAUGAAAAUAAAUGAAAUCCCCAACUCUCUCCGUGGGUUCUUGAGUUGCUUAGGAUUUCUAGGAUCACAAACAAAAUGCAAAUAAAAUAUGAUACGCAUAUGAUGACCUAUGUAUAACAUCUAAAUUGAAAAUUUGGGAUGUUACAAUGCAUUAGUCCCUUAACAUAUAAGUCUUCAAUACACCAAAAUCACUAAGGGGCACUAGAUGCACUUACAAUCUCCCCCUUUUUGGUGAUUGAUGACAAUAUAGGUUAAGUUUUCAACGGGGAUAAAUAUAUGAAGUGUAAAUACUGAUUUUGAGGAAUUUGAUUGCAAGAUAUAGAAGAACUCCCCCUGAAGAUGUGCGUAUGUGAGGAAUUUGCUUUUGAGUAGCAAUGCACAUUGUAGAUUAGAAUCAUGGAGAUCUCCCCCUAUAUCUUGUAAUUCAUACACACAUUUGACAUAGGAUAUGAAGAAUUUGAAAUGCAUGAUGAAAUAUGGUGACUGAUGUAAUUUAGCAUGCGUGCAUUAACAUAUAUGAGGAAAUAGCAUGCAGAAAAACAUAGCAAAAGUAUCAGAUCACCAUCGGACUUAAGUUUACAACUCAAUCCAACAAAUCUUCAGAAGAACGAGAGUUGUAACUUUGCAAAAAAACGUCCAUAUAUAAAGACCCGCUUGAAGACUAACUCAAAUUUCUCCCCCUUUGUCAUCGAAUGACCAAAAGGCAUGAAAAGUGAGGACUAACGCCCCUGAAGAAUAUCAUCACGAAGUUGAUGGAGGAGCGCCAGUGUUCUUGGGGUCGUUUGUUGAUGUAGGGCCUGCCGUAGUGUAGUCCAAGUCUUCAUGUUCAUCAGUCUCGCGCGAUGAAGAAUAGGAGCUGGCCACCAAGUGAGGAACUUUGACCUUCUUGAAUUUCUUCGAAGGUGGCUGAGACCAGUCAAAGUCCUUCUUGAAGCCCAUCUGCUUGAGAUCUUCUUCACCGUAGAUAUGAGAUAGAACAGCCCAGGUGCGAUCAAACACUUCAUGCAGAUAGUAAUGGUUCUUCUUCGCUGAGUUCUGAGUGAUUGUCAUGUUCUGAAGAAUUGAAACAAACUGUCGCUUGACCCAUUUCUGGUUGGGAUCGACCUUCUGAUGAAGACUGAGGAGAAGCUCAUGAUCAGUCAUCACCCUUGGAGCAGUGCCUUGAGGAUUUGGCUUUGAAGCAUUUGAGGCAGUGUCAUGAUUGGCAGAGUCAUCAUUGGUGGAGUAGGAUGCAGCUUUGCGAAACUGGCCAUCCAAUGGAUGAGUGCCUUCAUCAAUGACAGCGGCCUUGCCCUUCUCAUCGGCUGAGGAAAUAGUCCGCUUGAGGACUUUAAUUGGGGGCAAGUAGCUGCCAUGAUUGAGAGUGUCAGCCUUGUAGUUGAUUGAAGCCCUUGAUCUAACGAAUCUCAUGAUCCACGGAGCAUAAGUCUUCAAUUCAAACGGUGAAAGAGCGACAUUGGCCAAAGUCCUGUUGAAGAAAUCAUGGUAGUUGAUAGGCACACCAUGUAUGAUGUUGAAAAGCAGAUUCUUCAUGAUGCCAACAAUCUCUUCUUCAUUAGAGUCGUGGCCCGUGAUUGGACUGAGGGUCUUGGUCAAUAUCCUGUAAACUGUCCUUGGCACAUAGAGCAAUUCCUUGACGAGGAAUUUGGUCCGAGGAGCUUGGCCAGGCUUCAAAGGCUUCAUUAGCACUUGCAUGAAAUGAUCAGAUAGUUCAGCGUCAUGGUAGAUGAGCCUUGCACCUUCAAGGGGAGGACUGACUGGGAGUGCAUAGAGUAAUUCAGAGGCCGGAGCUUUGUAGUGAGUGUUUUCAGUCAUCCAGUCCAACACCCAUGAAUUCACACCUUCAGCGUUGCCGGUGAUGUGCAACAUAGCAUAGAACUGAAGAAUGAGUUCUUCAUUCCAGUCGCCUAUGUCGGUGCAGAAGUUGAGCAGCCCAGCGUCAUGAAGAACACUGAGGACUGGGGUGAAGCAGGGCAGCGACUCCAUAUCCACAUGAGGAAUGUGCUCAUGGUCAAAGAUCUUGUCUUUAUCGAAUAGCAGUGAAGAGUAGAAAUUCAUCUGACUUGUUGUCCAGAAGCGCUUCCAUCGAAGACGAGCAGAGUCAUAGGGAUUGAAGUCAGUGAAGAAAAGGUGCUCAUUGAAGAAAUCUUCAGCUUUGAACUUCUGUUUCUUGGAGAAGGGAUUCUUGGGCUUGGGCUGAGGAGUGUCAAUCAAAGUCUUCACAGCCUCUUGAACCACAUUCUCUAGAGCCGCAGGCUAAGGAAUUUCAGUUGCAAUGUCAUCAGUGGCAGCUUGGGUCUCCAUUUCUUCAGCAGCAUUUACAUCAGCGCUAGUGGCUGGAACUUCUUCAGGGAUGGUAAGAAGAGAAGAUUUAGGUUCAUCAGAGCCCGUGUGAAUUUCUUUGGUCUGAACAGGGGACUGAGGAAUCUGUUGCAGAGGUGUGAACAUUGGUGAAUUGGGAUGAUGACUUUCCCAAGUAGUCAUCGUUCAGAAUUGGAGUGGUGCACCCAAUGUCCACGUCUUCAUCUUCCUCAUCAAUUUCUUCAACGCCGGCCUCUUCAGCAGUGAACUGAGGCAUGGGCGAGGAUACCAGUGGGGUUGAAGGGAUGUUAUCCACUUCAAUUUCUUCAUCCAACUGCUCUGUCAAGGCAGUAGAAGGAUCUUCUUCAUCUGAUUCAUUGGGAAUCUCAUAUUCCUCAUCAAAGGGUACAAUCUCCUUUAAUGGCAUGCUUGAAACAGGAACAACAUCGAUAUGAUUUUCAUACGAGCUUGUCAAAGUCUUCAUUUUCUUUGGAGCUGAAGACUCUGAGGAAGCAGAUGCUUUCCUUUUCUUCACAGCUGCUCGCUCUGCAGCCUUGAUUUUCUUCACUUCUGAUGCAGAAGGAAGGAUAGAACUUGUCGUUGGUGCAGGAGGAGCAGAGGAAUUUGGUUCAUUUUCCUCAGGCGCAACUGAUGCAUUUGCCCUGGCAUUGUUAGUGUCUUCAGGCGCAACAGCGAUGCUUCAACUGGCCUGGAUUGAUCCUCAGGCGCAACACUAGAGGUUGCCCUGGCAGUUUCUUUAGCGGCUGGAAUUUCUUCAUCAGCCCUGGUGGUUUCAGAAUCAUCAACAGUCUGAUUGUCAUCAGCUGUGCUUGCAUGUUCUUCAGUUGGCUGUGCAGAAGCUUCAGCCUGAGGAGAUUCACGUUGCAUUGGGGCUGCAACAUUUGAGGUGAUCCUUUCUGCCAUCUUGACGAAUCUGACCUUGGCUCCUAGCCAAUCUGCACGGUAGGCGUCAAAUUCAUCAUCGAGGGUUUUGAUCUCAGCUUGCAUGGUCACAAGUUCAUCAGUUGUCAUCUUGACAACAUUCUUCUUCAGGUAACGCUCCUUCUUGUACUGAGCUUUCUUCAGUUGUCUGGCCUUUUCAAAUUUCCAUUUUUCUUCGCCUAUGAAGGCUGUCAACAUGUGACCUUGGCCAGGUGUGAGGUUGAAGUCAGGCAUAGGAGUGUUGGGGUCCUUGUGCCAAAGAUCAAUGAAAUCUAGGAUCAACUUGGGAUCCAACAGAAGAGGCACAUCUGUGCCUUUGGCUCUACCGGCCCGUUGCUGUCCGUCUCUGAUGAUUUCAGCGAGUUCUUCAUCAUCAGCUUCGUCUUCACUGGACAACACAUGAAAGGCAACCUGCUUUUUGUGAGGACUUGGUCUAGUGCCUCGUCCAGCAGUGGCCUUGGUCUUUAGCAAUGUUGGGCCAGUUGAGGACUGCGGAGGAGCUGAAGAACUUGCAGAUGCUCCUGAAGCAAUUGAGAUGCCUAUGGUCCUUUGGCAAGAGGCGAGAUGCGCAGGUGCCGAGAACUUUGUAGCAGCAGCUGAAGGUCUUGGAGCAGAGGGGACUGGUGCUGCUUGAGGAAUUUGCCGUGAGGGCUUUGACGAGCUUGGCCGUGAAGGCAUAUCUGAGGAACUGGGCUUGCGAGCUGGCUUCUUGGGCAUAGCCUUCUUAGGCUUGCUAGCAGAGGCAUCGGCAGCAGCAGCAGUAGCAGAGUCUUCGUUGAAUUUCCUCACUGCUUCUCUGGCCAUUUUGGCCAAUUUAGCUUGCCGUUUGGCCCAUUCAUCAGGAUAGUCCUCACCGUGCUUGAGGCUAGUGGGAUUAGCAAUUUGGCCAGGUGCCAAUGGAGGUCUUGGGCAAGAAGGGUGUAGAGCGAAUUUCUUCAUAUACUUAGGAGUAACAUAUCUGUACUCCCUCCAUUCCCGUGCCCAUCUUCUUUCGAUCUUCUGAAUGCGCACCUUGCGCUGAUUCUUAUUCUCCUUGCCAUGUUUGGCUUCAUCAGGAGUGCAAUAUUCUGCAUAAAUGUCAUCAGGGAUCUCAAACGCUGUGUUAACUUCUGGUCUCUUGCCUUCCUUCUGAGGUCUCUUGCCAUCAGCCAUUUUCUUCAGCUGAGGAUUUUGAACAAUGGAAUUCUCUGAAGAGGUGUGUAACUUGUCUUCAAGGAACGCUGCAAAUGAGUUAAGUUGAAGAGAACCUAGUGAUUCAGCAGCGGACAUGAGUACCUGUGAACAGAGUAUAGGUGCGAAGAAUUUGGAGAGGUCAUAUGCGUUCUCAGAAGUUUUGCAAAAUGAACAAGUUUGAGGAAUUUGACCAGAGGUGUCUUGAGAAUUUCACUAAGCGUUCUUUGACUUAGGUUCCAGAGUUGUAUAGAUUGUAAAAUCCACACAAUUGAGGAAUCUUGAAGAAAAACGUUACUUAGAGUAAUAGAUCAAGAACAGAUGCUUGUGAGGUGUUUACUUGUGUGGAAGUUGAAGAAUAAAUACCUUUUGAAGAUUUUGUGGAAAUCAACAGAAUCAACAAGGGCAGUAAAAAUAAAUUUAGUUACCCUUGACGAAGAACAUGACGAACUGGGAGUUGAAGAUUGGAAGUUCGUCCGUUCAGAUCUUCCACGCCCUAACUUGGCGAAGGAAGACAGCUAUGGCGGCGGCGGAGUGAAGAUUUCCGCGGUCGGCGCGAGUACAACGGCAACGAGGUCGAGGCAGUGAAGUUCUUCCUCACCGGCGACGAUGGAAGUAGCAGCGACGCUAGGUCAGAGAGCUCGAGCGAGGGGAGUGAGGUCGAGCGGGGUGAAUGAAGUCUGAGGAGGAUGAGGGGUAUUUAUAACAAGGUGAAAAACCGCUCACCCAAGGAAAAUGGACGAACGUGCCCCUGACCCUUCUCAUCCUUGUGACAUGUGCCACCCACGUACAGAGAGGUGGAGAUCGUGUGAGAUCGUGGGUGAAUAGAUAAGUCUUAUCGUGGGAAUUGGAACGGUUUGAGCGGCAAAAGCCAAAAAUUCAGAUAAGAUUAUUUUAAAGUUUCGUUCUCAAAUUCUUCAGCUGACAAGGACACAGUGAAGAUUUUGAACGGGUUUCAAAUAGAACGCACAUGAAGAAUUUGUGAACAGACUGGGUUGAGUUUAGCAUAGAGGGGGAAGGGUCCGAUCACAUUCACUUAGCGGAAGAGUCAACCUGAAGAAUUAGCAAUAAGUGAAUGCUGUAGAGGACGUAAAACUCAAAUAUAUAUAUAUAUAUAUAUAUAUAUAUAUAUAGUCAAUGUAGAACAAAGAUGGAAAGAGUGAAGACAAUGCAAAAAAGAACAACUGAGGAAUUUCAAAACUGAGGAAAAACUCAAAUUGAAGAAUUUCAACUUUUGUUGGUGGCGUGACCCACCGUAUAAGAAUGAUGAUUUCAGAUGCCGCGUACAAUUGUCGUAGGGUUCUGAGAAUCAAAUUCUUCGUUAAUUCUUCACACUUAGAGGGUUAGUCUUCAUUGAUUGAAGAAAAAUGUUACUUCGUGUGUUGCACAUCUAAGUCAUCAAUUUUGCAUAAGUGUUAAGAUGUGUGUCCUUUUCAAAGGACAUUCGAAGAUUCUAAGAUAUUUAGCUCACACCGCAACUUGCUAAAUCUCUUCUCAUCCAAGGGCUUUGUGAUAUGGCUAGCUGUUCUUCAGUAUUCACGUGCUCGAUAGAGAUGUCGCCCUUCAACACAUGAUCAUGAAGAAAAUGACGACGAAUCUGGAUGUGCUUUGUCUUCGAGUGCUGAACUGGGUUGUGAGCAAUCUUGAUGGCACUCUCAUUGUCACAGUAGAGUGGCACAUUCUUCACAUUGAUGCCAUAGUCCUUGAGAGUUUGCUUCAUCCAUAGCAAUUGAGCACAGCAGGAACCAGCAGCAAUGUACUCAGCUUCAGCAGUAGAGAAUGAUACGCAGUUCUAUUUCUUCGAGGACCAACAUACCAAGGAUCGUCUGAGGAAAUGGCAUGUGCCUGAUGUUGACUUGCGGUCCACACGAUCACCAGCAUAGUCAGAGUCUGAAUAUCCAAUGAGAUCAAAAGCCGAGCCCUUGGGAUACCAUAAUCCAAGUGUUGGAGUGUCAGCUAGAUAUCGAAGAAUAUGCUUCAUAGACUUAUGGUGUGAUUCCUUCGGUGUAGCUUGAAAUCGGGCACACAUGCAAACACUAAGCAUAAUAUCUAGCCUAGAUGCACAUAGAUACAAUAAAGAACCAAUCAUGGAGCGGUAUACCUUUUGAUCAAAGUCAAUACCAUUUUCAUCAGUGCAUAGAUGGCCAUUUGUGGACACAGGGAUUUUGACGCCUUUGCAAUCUUGCAUGCCGAAUUCCCUCAAUACAUCCUUGAGGCAUUUCUCCUGAGAUAUGAAGAUGUUGUUGCGCUGUUGACGAAUUUGAAGACCUAAGAAGAAUUUCAAUUCUCCCAUCAUACACAUUUGAUAUUCUUCACUCAUCAUAUAGGCAAAUUCAUCACUGUAACGUUGGUCAGUACAGCUAAAGAUGAUAUCAUCAACAUAUAUUUGGCACACGAAUAAUUCAUCAGGUUUUGGUGAAAAGAGUUGGGUCAAGUGAACCGGGUUUGAAGCCUUUCUUCAUGAGGAAUUCCUUCAAAGUAUCAUACCAUGCCCGAGGGGCCUGCUUGAGGCCAUAGAGGGCCUUAUUGAGUCUGAAGACUUUGUCAGGAUGCUUUGGAUCUUCAAAACCUGGGGGUUGAGCAACAUAUACUUCUUCCUCAAGCUUACCAUUGAGGAAUGCACUUUUCACAUCCAUUUGAUAUAAGAUGAUAUUAUGAUGGUUAGCAUAAGCAAGCAAUAUGCGAAUAGCCUCAAGUCUAGCAACAUGUGCAAAAGUUUCAUCAAAAUCAAUUCCUUCAACCUGUGUGUAGCCUUGAGCUACAAGUCGUGCCUUAUUUCUCACUACAAGCCCAUUUUCAUCUUGCGUGUUGCGGUAGAUCCAUUUGGUGCCGAUGAUAUUGUGCUUGUGAGGGUCUGGUCGCUUGACAAGUUCCCAGACAUUGUUGAGCUCGAACAGAUGUAAUUCAUCUUGCAUCGCUUGAAUCCACUCAGGCUCUAGAAAUGCCUCAUCUACUUUGGUGGGCUCUGUGAUAGAGACAAAAGCAAAGUGCCCACAAAAGUUAGACAUAUGUGAAGCUUUUGAGCGUGUGAGAGGACCUGGUGCAUUGAUGUCACUGAUGAUUUUCUCGAUCUGGACUUCAUUUGCAAGACGAGGAUGAGCGGGUUGACGGCGUUGAGUCGGCUCAGCAUUUUCUUCAGAGCCAUUUUCCUCAGGUGCAUCAGCAUGAUGGUCUUCACGUUUUGGAAUGACUUGUUCAGCAGAUUCUUCGGUAGGAAUGACAUCCUCAGUAGCCUUGAACUUGAUGGAUUCCUUAGGUGACUUAUCAUCUGGCACCGGAGGUAGGUGCUCUCUUUGCGAGCCAUUAGUUUCAUCGAACCGCACGUCUACAGUUUCAACAACCUUGUGAUGAACGAUGUUGAAGACUCUGUACGUGUGCCAGUCCUUUUCGUAACCAAGCAUAAAACCUUCAUGUGCUUUCGGUGCAAAUUUAGAAUUGUGAUGAGGAUCUCUAAUCCAACAUUUAGCACCAAAUACUUUGAAAUAACUCACAUUGGGUUUCUUGUCAGUAAGGAGUUCAUAUGAGGUCUUUUUGAAGAAUUCGUGAAGAUAUACCCUGUUGAUGAUGUGGCACGCAGUAUCAAUUGCCUCAGGCCAAAAAUGACGAGGCGUCUUGUAUUCGUCAAGCAUAGUGCAAGCCAUCUCAACAAGAGUCAUGUUCUUGCGGUCCACGACGCCGUUCUGCUGAGGAGUAUAAGGAGCAGAUAACUCGUGAGUAAUACCAAGUUCAUCAAGAUAGUUAUCAAGACCAGUAUUCUUGAACUCGGUCCCAUUGUCACUUCUGAUGUGCUUGAUCUUCACAGCAAAGUUGGUUGAAGCCCUCGAGGAAAAUCGUUUGAAGACUUCCUGCACUUCAUAUUUGUAAGUGACGAUAUGCACCCAUGUGUAACGAGAAUAGUCAUCAACAAUAACAAAGCCAUAUAAUGAUGCGGCAUUGGUGAAUGUGGCAUAAUGAGUAGGGCCAACGAGAUCCAUGUGAAGCAAUUCUAUGGACGAGUGGUAGUCAUGAUGGUCUUUGAGGGAUGCUUGGCCUUGGUCAUCUUUCCAGCUUCACAGGCUCCACACAGAUGAUCCUUGAGGAAUUUGACAUCCUCGAUACCAAUGACAUGCUUCUUCUUCGCGAGCGUGUGCAAGUUCCUCAUGCCAGCAUGACCAAGUCGUCGAUGCCAUAGCCAGCCUUCUGAAUCUUUUGCAAGUAGACAUGUAGUAGGUUGUGGUCCUAUAGAGAAAUCAACAAUAUACAAGUCUCCUCUCCUAAAGCCUUCGAAGACUUUGGAAUGGUCAGCUUCCAUGAUCACAACACAUCGAUACUUGCCGAAGACAACAACCAUAUCAAGAUCACAAAGCAUUGAGACAGACAUGAGGUUGAAUCCUAAGGACUCGACAAGCAUGACUUUGUCCAUGUGUCGAUCCUUUGAGAUCGCAAUCUUACCUAGACCCAAUACCUUGCUUUUGCCUUUGUCAGCGUAGGUGAUAUGCUUCAGAUGUGAUGGAGAUAAAGCAGUGUCCAUCAAUAAACUCCUGUCACCAGUCAUGUGAUUCUUACAUCCACUGUCGAGGACCCACUCAAUAGCUUUUGGUUAAUCAUCCUGUAGAUGAAUUAGUGAAUCUUACGAACUCAUAUACUUCAUCAGUGAAGAAUAUGACAUCAAAUUCAUCAGAUCAAUUUCAUCAAGCAAUAGAACAGAUAUAGCAGCAGGAGGACGUGAGAAAUGAAAAUUCAUUUCUUCAUGAUUAGCUUGCGUCCUUUCAAGCAUUAUUCAGGUUUCCAGCAAAUUCUUCAGACGAUUAAAUACGUCUGGAGACCUAACCCUGCAUAAGAGAUUAGUUAUUUUUCUUCACCACCCACAUAUGGAGGGGUGGCAAAGAGUUCAUCAUUCUGCGAGCUCCAUAAGAGAAAGGUGGCAUAGACGCCAAUCCACUCCGUUUCACAUAAGAGGGGUUAGAGUAAGCAUAUGAAUAAGCAGAGAAAUUCUUCGAGGACUUAUGAACAUAAUGGUUUGAAGAAUAAUGCACAUAUUCAUAGCCCUUAGAUCUUUCCAACGAAACAGAAGUGUUAGAACGAUGAUGCUCAUAUGAGGACUUUCAUCCAUAUGAGGAAUUUGAUCCACGUGAGGAAUGUGGUCCAUAUGAGGACUUGGAUCCAUAUGAAGACUUUGGUCCAUAUGAAGAAUUUGAUCUGGGGUUCCUAUUCUUCACAGGCGGUGUCAUGACGACAUUCACCUGAAGACUUUCAAGACAUCUUUUGGGAACCCAGAUUUUCUUCAUAGGGGGGCCGUUCCUGCAGUUAGUGCCAACAUAUCUAGCAAAUACUUCACCAUUCUGAUUUUUUGAACAGUUUAUAGUUGGAGUCAAAUGACUCAUCAGAAGAAUAUGAAGAUUCACAUGUAAAGCCAGAUAAAGUAGAUGGAUCUACGGGAGGUCCCUUUGCAGCAACCCAUGAGGUUUUGGGAUACUGCUCAGGUUUCCAGUAGGUCCCAUCAGCAUUGAGUUUCCUCUCAAAGGCAAUACCCUCUUUCCUAGGGUUCCUAUUGAGGAUCUGCUUUUUAAGCACAUCACAAAGUUCUUGAUGCCCUUUGAGGCUUUUGUACAUGCCUGUCACAUACAAUUCCUUCAGCCCUGCAUUGUCAGUGAUACUAGUAGCAUCCUCAGAUGAGGGAUUUGUGAUAGCAGAGACAGUUGAAGAAUUUGCAGCAAUAAAAGCAUUUGAACUUUCAGGUGAAGAAUUAGCAGAUUCACACUCAAUGCAUUUCAAACAUGGUGGAAUGAAUUCUUCCUGAGCGGCACUGAUCUAUUGAGCAAGCAAUGAAUCACGUUCCUUCUGAAGACCUUCAUAACUCUCCCUUAGCUUCUCAAGAUCUUGCUUUCUUUGAAGAAAUUCAUAAGAAAGCUUCUCAUGAUCAGAUAAGAGAGUGUUAUGAUGACUCUGAAGGUUAUCAAACUUGGACUGAAGUCUCUAAAGAUUAUCAGUCAAGGUUUGAGUGCGAUCCAUUUCUUCACCCAAUAGGUCAUCGCUUUUGUCUAGCAUAUUUUGAACCUUUUGAAAGGCCUUUUGUUGUUUUACAGCAAUCUUAGCAAGUUUAGAGUAGCUAGGCUUGAGGUUUUCAUCAGAUUCAUCCUCACUUGAUUCAGAGGAGGGAUAUUUGAGUACCUUGGCACCCUUUGCCAUGAAGCAAUAGGUAGGAGCGUAGUCAUCAUUGCCGUCGUCAGCAGUGUUGGGGAAGCCAUUCUCCUCAGAGUUGAAGAUGGACUUGCUGACGAACACAGUAGCGAGGGCUAGACUCGCCACACCAGAUUCUGACUCCUCAGAUGCCUCCUCUUCCUCAUUUUCCUCAGAUUCAGCUUCGGAGUCCAUUUCCUUGCCAAUGAAUGCCCGAGCCUUUUUGGAGCUGCUCUUCUUGUGGGAUGAAGACUUUGACGAUUCUGGUGAUGAAGACUUUGAAGAUUUAUUCUUCUUCGAUUCCUUUUCCCACAGAGGACAAUCUUGAAUGUAGUGACCAGGUUUCUUGCAUUUGUGGCAGGUACGCUUCUUGUAGUCACGGGAUGAGGAAUCUGAUCUCACGUCAUCACUUCUUGAGGAUUUACCAAAGCGACCACGUCUUGAGAACUUCUGGAAUUCCCUCACGCGCAUUGCUAGCUCCUGGCUCAGUUCUUCAGGAUCACCAAGGCUACUACCAGAAUCCUCACCUUCAAAUUCAGAGACUGCCUCGGCCUUCAAAGUGCGUGUUCUGCCAUAGCUUGAUCCAUAGAGAUCUCUCUUCUCAGCAAGUUGGAACUCAUGAGUGUUUAGCCUCUCAAGGAUAUUAGCGGGAUCAAGUGCCUUGUAGUCUCCACGUUCUUGUAUCAUCAGUGCAAGAGUGUCAAAUGAGGAAUCAAGCGAUCUCAGCAAUUUCUUCACCACCUCAUGGUCGGUGAUGUCAGUGGCACCAAGUGCUUGAAGCUCAUUUGAGAUGUCAGUGAGGCGAUCGAAGGUUUGCUGGACAUUUUCAUUAUCGAGUCUUUUAAAACGGUUGAAGAGAUUGCGAAGAACGUCAACUCGAGAGUCACGCUGUGUUGAGACUCCUUCGUUGACCUUGGACAACCUAUCCCAGAUAAGCUUAGCUAUCUCUAAAGCACUCACUCUGCCAUACUGCCCUUUGCUCAGAUGGCCACACAUGAUGUUCUUCGCUUGAGAGUCGAGUUGCUUGAAUCUCUUCACGUCAGCAGCGUUGAUGGUAGGAGUGAUAGAGGGAACACCAUUUUCCACAACAUACCAGAGAUCGUUGUCAAUUGCCUCAAGAUGCAUUCGCAUCUUAUUCUUCCAGUAGGGGUAGUCCGUCCCAUCGAAGGUAGGACACCCGGCAGAGACCUUGAUCAUACCUGCGGUCGACAUAACUAAAAUUCCAGGCGGUUAAACCAAAAUCACACAGAACAAGGGAGUAACUUGCUCUGAUACCAAUUGAAAGUGCGUUAUAUCGACUAGAGGGGGGUGAAUAGGCGAUUUUUACAAAUUCGUCACUGUGGAAUUUCAGGAUGAGGAAAUUCCUAAGUCACGAACAACUAGCAGCGGAAUAAGUACUCAGAUGCAUGCAUAACAGAACAGAAGCACGGUCAUCAUGAUGAAAUGAAAACAAACAAUGAGUACAGGAAGCGUAAACACAGGAUAAGCAGGCUGAAGACAAACUAACUGAAGAAAUUGAACUGAGGAAAUUGAGAAAGUCUUCAGUCAAAGUCUUCAAACGGUAUCGAUCAGGUACAACAACACAGUAAUGAGGAAAUGAAAGGGUUGAGGAAAUAGAACCAGUUAGCUUGGUGAAGACAGUGAUUUGGUAGACCUGUUCCAACUGCUGUGACAGUCGUACGUCUGGUUGGAGCGGCUAGGUAUUUAAACCUGAGGACACACAGUCCUCACCGUAUUCUCCUUGAGCUAAGGUCACACAGACCUCGCCCAAUCACUCGUGAUAAGUCUUCAGGUGACUUCCAAACCUUCACAGAUUCGGUCACUCGGCGAUCCACAAUUUCCUCUUGGAUGCUCUAGACCAUGACGCCUAACCAUCUGGAAGAUGCACAGUCUUCAAAGGUAACAAGUGUCGGUUCCACACAGGAACAAUCUCUUCAGUGAUGCUCAAUCACUUUGGGUUUGUAGGUGUUUGGGUUUGGGUUUUUCUCACUUGAUGAUUUUCGCUCAAAGUCCUCGGAGGAUGGGAUGCUCUCAAUGACAAGUGUUGGUUUCUCUCAGAGCAGCCAACCAGCUAGUGGUUGUAGGGGGCGGCUAUUUAUAGCCUAGGGAGCAGCCCGACAUGAUAAGACAUAAAUGCCCUUCAAUGAUAUGACCGUUAGGUGGAUAAGAUAUUUUGGGACAGCUGGCGCAUAGCACAACAACGGUCGGAAAUUUGAGGUUCAAAUUCCUCAGGGCUAUCAUGUGCCUCACUUGUAGGCAAUCCGCACUGGCAAAUUCCUAACUCCUCGGUCAGAACAAAUUCCUUAGAGACCAGAAGAACUUCGUCUCUGUCACUGAAGAAAUUGACUGAACUGUAUGAGAUUUCCAAUGGCUUCACUCGAAGGGAUUGGUAGGUGUAGGAUUUUGAGUUGAGCAUCACUUGGAAACUUUUCCUUAGUUUUACCUCGACCCCCUUUAACAGUACGGUGUUUCCUAUGACUCAAGAAAGAGAAAAUGAAACUACGAAAAGAAAAGUCUUCACGCUUCAUGUUCCUCACAUGAAUAUCAAGUUUUCAUGGUCACACCAAUUUCUUCACUUUCAAAGUCUUCAGAAAGCCAAAGUCUUCAGUUGAAGACAUUCAUUUUUAGGGGUCGACUUUCUCUAUAAAUAUCAAACUCCUCAUAGACUUAUAGACCCGUGUACACUCACAAACACAUUAGUCCCUUAACCUAUAAGUCUUCAAUACACCAAAAUCACUAAGGGGCACUAGAUGCACUUACAAGGCUACCUGGUUGUAGGGCUGGUGUUGCUUGUUUGAUUUGUUGAGAUGCUUAUUCGCUUGUUAUCUAGUUGCAACUUGGCUUUGAAAGUUGCGGUCUAUUUCCUUUUAAGAUGUUGCGAGGGUUGGCUACUGUAGGGAGUCUUCCUAUGUUGCCUGCCUAUUGUUUGCAUUGUUUUUUUUGUUUCUUCGGUCAUGUCACUACAGAUUGAUUUGAUGAUUAAAGCAUGUAUCAGUGAUGUAGUCCUAUUGUGAAGAUGCUUAUUGUUUCAUUUCUGUAAUGUAGGAACAUGUAUAUCCUUUCAAGUUCACUGAUGUGGUUACCACUACAACACAUGUGCCCCCAAGGACCAAGGGUGGACAUGAUCUUCUACAAGGUUGUUGUCUGUGACUAUUAGGACGGGAUCAACUUUGCGGUGUCCCCAUUGCUACAAGUCAAGCUAAUAGAGCUAAAUGGGUAUCCAAUUUUAGAAAGCACACUUAAGAAACAUGCACACGUGUCUUUAGAUCCUAUGGAGCAUUCCUAAUAAUGACCAUCUAUUUAACUAUCUUGGAUCAUUACCAUUACAAAAUGCAGCAUGGCAUUCAUAAUGUUCAGUUAUUCAUAAAUGUGGCAUUUAAUUCUUCUCCUGGCAUGAUAUUUAAGCAUGUUGCAUAUACCAAUCUAUUGAUAAUUCAAUUAUUGAUUCUGAUGUACAAACAGGCAAAACCAUUGCAUGUUUGGAUGAUGCACAUGAAUAUGUUUUUGUUAGUUUUCGAUGAUGUACGCCGUGAAGCGGGACGGGCGGACGGAGACGGUGCACUUUGACAAGAUCACGGUGCAGCUUAAGAAGCUCAGCUAUGGGCUCAGCCAGGAGCACUGCGACCCCGUGCUUGUCGCGCAGAAGGUCUGCGUCAGGGUAUACAUGGGCGUCACCACCAGCCAGCUCGACGAGCUCGGCGCCGAGACCGCCGCCGCGCUCACCGCCUCCCAGCAUGACUAUGCCUCCGUACGUUCCCUCUUUCGAUCUGUCUCUCCCCUUCUGGUCCGUUCCGUUCCCCCCUCACGGCGCCCGGGUUCGUGUCUCCUAGCCUGACGUAUGUGCGUGUGUGGUUCUUCUACAGCUCGCGGCGAGGAUUGAUGUGUCCAACCUGCCGCCAAGUGGAAAUAGUCUGUGUGGUGCUCGUAAAUAGAGAGCAUUCUGGUAGAAAGGUACAAGAAAGAAUAGGGAAACUUCUGUCAUUUUCUUUGGUCUCUGAAAAAUAAAUGGUGAUAUGGGCUGAUACAUUGCUAAAUUACAUGAUACAAACUCACUUCUCUUUUUUGAUUUUUGGUUUACUUCGUUGUGCUACAAUGGCUCUCCUAGGAAUGUUCUUCCAUGCUUUGAUGUGCACAAUCCAGAAAGUGCAUGCAUCCAGAAACCAAAUAGGAUUUUUUUUUUGUGUGUUAUCUUCUCAUAAAUCUUGUGCUCGUCCAAUAAGAAUAAGGUUUGGUGGUAUUGCUUUUGUCUGUCACCCGAUAGAUUUCAGACUUCAAGCUAGCUACAGUUAUUUCAAGUUAUAUGUGCAAAUCCUUGGUGUGACAUGAUUGGUAACUGACCAUGAAUACGUUGUAAUCUGAUAUGUCUAAUUCUUGAUUUAUGUGGUACCAUGGUCUAAAAAUUAGUCCUAAAGAUACAUGAUGUUUUUGUACAAAGUUGAGACAGUUAUUUUGGAACCGAGGGAGUAUUAGAUUAUUUUGUUCCUUUUUAAUUUGGUUCUAAAGAUAUAGUUUCAGAGUGAUCAUUUUGCAUCAGCCAAGCUUGCCAUUGUUACAAAUAAUUGUUCUGUUGUCCUCAAUUCACUUUCUCGGUUUUUUAAUGCUACAAGCAUUAUUGUUCCAGUUUUUUUAGUUAUUGAUCAUGCCAUUUUUCUUUCUGCCUUUGUAGCUGAAAGAUUAGUGAGACUGACUAAAUUCUGAACAUGUUCUAUGUAAGAGAAAUAGCAUGUUGAUUUCAUCUUGAAAUGAUCAUAGCUGAGGGACGAGGUUCGUAACUGAGGGUCAUGUGCAGAGCUGGAGGAAGAAGUUGCGAGGCAUGGAACUCUUCUUGUGAAGGGCUCAGGGACAGCAGUGAGGACAAUGCCUCUUUAGUUGUAAUUGUGAUACUCCUGAUGUGCAAGUAAACACUCUUGUGAUACUCCUUAUACUAAAAUGUUGGUUGUUAAUACAGUGGUGGUGACAUUAUUUGGUUCCCUGGUAUUGAUUUCAUGAUUUUUGGUUAAUACAUGAUGUAAUACAAUCCACAUUGCAUUAUAUUUCCAGUUACAUCUCCUACUUACUCACUACUAACAUUUUUUCUAAUUCGCUCCUUGCGCCAUGUGCGCAACCGGGUCAUCUAGUAGACUUUUAAAGAACGCACAGGUAGACUCGCAACGAGUAGACUGCUAGUAAAUGUUAGGGUUAUAAUAUAGGUCAUCUACCCCUUUGUAUUUAUCCCGUUGUAUAAGGGGUUUCCUGCAUAUGUUCCACACCUGUACAUGUAUAUAUAUCGGCCUAUGGCCUCAUGGGAAUACAAGUUGCUUAUUCCUAACAUGGUAUUAGAGCUCUAGGGUUUCUUUUCGCACGCCGCAACUCGUGCUCGAUCCCGUCGUGACGGCCGCCAUUGCUCUGAUCCGCUGCCCCGGCCUGAAGCGUCCACGCCCGACGGCCUCCUCAACACGCGCCGGGGCGCUGCUCCUUCUGGACGCCACAGCCGCCGUGCGGUCUUCCGCCCGUCCCCAGCCCCGGCUCGUGGUCUCCCGCACGUCACAGCCCCCAGCCCCGGUCUCCCGCCUGCUCGUGGUCUCCCGCCAGCCCCGGUCUCCCGCCUGCUCGUGGCUCCCGCCAGCCACCCGGUCUCCCGCUAGUCUGGUGUCGUCCAGUGCUCUGCUGAUUUCGGGUCUCGUGAUCGACUGCCUGCUGUCCGGUGCUCUGCUAAUUUCGGGUCUCGGAUUCUGCUGAUUUCGGGUCUCUGCUAAAAAAAUGUCUGCUGCAUCGGGCUAUGUUGCUGUCCCUCGCUGUCCGGUGAUCUUCGAUGGUACUAACUACACCGAGUUCGCUGGCUUCAUGCGCAUUCAUAUGCGUGGCAUCCGUCUCUGGGGUGUUCUUUCUGGCGAGGUCUGCUGUCCGCCACGUCCGGUUCCUCCGGUGGCCCCUACUCCGCCGACUCCACUGGUUCUUCCUACGGAUGCUAAUCAGGCCGCCAAGGAUGCGGCUAAGAUUGCUGAUGAGGCUGCUGAUCGUGCCUAUGAUGAGAGGGUUUUGGCUUAUGAGGAGGCUCUUCAGACGUAUCAUGGUGCUUUGUCUGUUUACACCCAGUGGCUUGAUGAUGAUGCUCGUGCUGCAGCUGUUCUCACUGCUAGUGUUCUGCCUCAAUUUGCUUCUGAGUUUUUGGGUCUUCCUACUGUCUUCCAGAUGUGGACCUGUCUUCGUCAGCGCUAUGAGCCCUCUGGUGAUGCCUUAUACCUUUCUGUGGUUCGUCAGGAGCAUGCUCUUCAGCAGGGUGACUCUACUGUUGAUGACUUUUAUGCACAGAGUUCUGCUAUCUGGCGCCAGCUUGAUUCUCUCUGCAGUGCUGGUUGUCGUACUUGCCCCUGCUGCCAGGCUGUCCAGGCCGAUUUGGAGUUUCAUCGCGUCUACGAGUUCCUGUCUCGGCUCCGUAAGGAGUUUGAGCCCCGGCGUGCUCAGUUGUUUGCUCGUGGCCGUAUUUCUCUCAUGGAGGCGCUUUCAGAGAUUCGUGCUGAGGAGACUCGCCUACGUGGUGUUGGUUUGCUGGAGGUUCCCUCUGUGCUCGCUACUCGGGCUUCUUCCACUCCACCUGCUGCACCGCCCCAUUCUCGCUCGAGUGCUCCGCCGCUCUUGCCCACUCCUUCUGGAGGCUCAGGUCGCCCCCGUCCACAUUGUGACUACUGCAACAAUGAUGGUCAUAUUGAGUCCCAGUGCUACACAAAGCGGAAACACCUGCGCAAGGCGCGAUCAUCCUCCUCAGGGACUUCGUCAUCUCCCUCGCCAGCUUCAGCCAUUGCUUUGACUGAGCAGGAUAUUCUGAGACUUCAGCGUUUGCUCGCGGCUUCAGGUUCUUCCUCGACGGGUACUGCUGGUUCUGUGACUGAUGCUUCCCGCACUGAGCACUCGCCCUCUACACAUUCAGGUACAUCCCCAUGGGUUCUGGACUCUGGAGCUUCUUUUCAUAUGUCUUCUCAUUCUUCCGCUUUGUCCUCUCUUCGAUCGCUGGAUUCUCCUGUUCAUGUCUUCACUGCUGAUGGUACUCCACUUUCUGUUGCUAGUAGAGGCCAUCUUUCCACUCCUUCUUAUUCUGUUCCUGAUGUUGCUCAUGUUCCUUGACUUACCAUGAAUCUGUUUUCUGCCGGUCAACUUACUGAUUCUGGUUGUCGUGUCAUCCUUGAUGUUGACUCUUGUUCUGUCCAGGAUCGUCGCACGCACACUCUGGUUGGGGCUGGCCCUCGCCGCCGUGAUUCUCAGGGUCUUUGGGAGUUGGACUGGCUUCAUGUUCCUUCCGCUGCCACCACCAUCGCCCGUCCCUCCGCUGUUGUCGCCUUUGUUACUGGUUCCUUCAAGCAGUGGCAUCAUCGACUUGGUCAUCUGUGUGGUUCUCGGUUAUCGUCUUUAGUUCGUCGAGGUCUUCUGGGGUCUGUCUCAGGAGAUGUCUCUUUAGAGUGUCAGGGUUGUCGUCUUGGCAAGCAGAUUCAGUUACCAUAUUCACAUAGUGAGUCAGUGUCUAAGCGUCCUUUCGAUUUAGUCCAUUCUGAUGUAUGGGGUCCGGCUCCUUUCGCUUCGAAAGGUGGUUAUAAAUACUAUAUUAUUUUCAUCGAUGAUUUUUCUCGUUACACAUGGUUUUAUUUCAUGACUUCACGUAGUGAGGUGUUGUCUAUUUAUAAGCGUUUUGCUGCCAUGGUUCAUACUCAGUUCUCUUCACCCAUUCGUGUUUUUCGUGCUGACUCCGCUGGCGAGUAUAUCUCUAAGAUGUUGUGUGGUGUUCUUGCUGAGCAGGGUACUCUUGCCCAGUUCUCUUGUCCUGGUGCUCAUGCUCAGAAUGGCGUGUCUGAGCGCAAGCAUCGUCACCUUCUUGAGACGGCUCGUGCUAUGAUGAUCGCCGCCUCUCUUCCGCCUCAUUUUUGGGCCGAGGCUAUCUCCACUUCCGCCUAUCUCAUCAACCUUCAGCCGUCCGCUGCUUUGCAGGGUGGUGUUCCUUUUGAGCGUCUUUUUGAUCGUUCUCCCGAUUAUUCGAUGCUUCGCUUGUUUGGUUGUGUUUGCUAUGUUCUUCUUGCCCCUCGCGAACGCACCAAACUGACCGCUCAGUCUGUUGAGUGUGUCUUCUUAGGCUACAGUGAUGAGCAUAAGGGCUAUCGUUGUUGGGAUCCUAUCGGUCGUCGGAUGCGUAUCUCUCGAGACGUGACUUUUGAUGAGUCUCGUCCUUUCUACCCACGCCCAUCUUCCUCGUUUUUUUUAGUGGAUGAUAUCUCUUUCCUCACUUUUCCUGACUCACCUAUCACCCCCGUCGCGCCUGUGCCUAUUCGUUCCACUCCCUCUACUUCUCCACCCCUCGUCGAUUCGCCGCCACCAUCUUCCCCGGUCUCCUCACCUAGCAUGUCACCGGAUUCUACACCUUCAUCUCCGGUGACUUCUUCGUCGCCACCCCCCGAUUCUACCUUGGCGAUUCCUCCUUCUCUUGUUCCAUCUUUUCCUCAGCAUUACACUCGUCGUUCACGACCUGUGGAUGCUUCCUUGGAUGAGUCGUCCUCUUCCUCUCAGCCUACUUAUGGCUUGCGUUCUCGUCCUCGUCCGCCUAUUGAUCGCUUUGGAUUUCCCACUGCUGGUGCUGCUGUUCUUGAGCCGACUUCUUAUCGUCAGGUUGUUGUUCAUCCUGAAUGGCAGUUUGCGAUGGCAGAGGAGAUUGCUUCUCUUGAACGCACUGGUACCUGGGAUCUUGUUUCUCUUCCUCCCGGAGUCCGUCGCAUCACUUGUAAGUGGGUCUACAAGGUUAAGACUCGCUCCGAUGGUUCUCUUGAGCGUCACAAAGCUCGUCUCGUGGCUCGUGGUUUUCAGCAGGAGCAUGGUCGUGAUUAUGACGAGACUUUUGCUCCUGUGGCCCAUAUGACCACUAUUCGUACACUUCUUGCCGUUGCCUCUGCACGCCACUGGUCUAUAUCUCAGCUUGAUGUUAAGAAUGCCUUUCUUAAUGGUGAGCUGCGUGAGGAGGUGUACAUGCAGCCACCACCUGGGUAUUCUGUUCCUGAUGGCAUGGUGUGUCGUCUUCGUCGCUCUCUCUAUGGCCUUAAGCAAGCCCCUCGCGCCUGGUUUGAGCGUUUUGCCUCUGUGGUCACUACUGCUGGUUUUUCAGCAAGUGCUCAUGAUCCAGCAUUGUUUAUUCACCUUUCUCCUCGUGGCCGGACUCUUCUUCUUCUCUAUGUUGAUGAUAUGGUCAUCACUGGGGAUGACCCCGAGUAUAUUGCCUUUGUAAAGGCCCGUCUUAGUGAGCAGUUUCUUAUGUCUGAUCUUGGACCUCUUUGCUACUUUCUUGGGAUUGAAGUCUCUUCUACCUCUGAUGGCUUUUUUAUAUCCCAGGAAAAGUAUAUCCAGGAUCUUCUUGCUCGUGCUGCUCUUACUGACGAGCGCAUUGUUGAGACUCCUAUGGAGCUCAAUGUUCACCUCCUUGCUACUGAUGGUGAUCCUCUCCCUGACCCGACGCGUUAUCGUCAUCUUGUUGGCAGUCUUGUCUAUCUAGCUGUCACUCGUCCGGACAUCUCUUAUCCGGUUCAUAUUCUGAGUCAGUUUGUCUCUGCUCCCACAUCGGUUCACUAUAGUCAUCUCCUUCGUGUUCUCCGAUAUCUUCGGGGCACGAUCUCUCACCGUCUAUUCUUUCCUAGCUCCAGUUCUUUACAGCUUCAGGCCUAUGCGGAUGCUACAUGGGCUAGUGAUCCUUCUGAUCGCCGUUCACUUUCUGCUUACUGUGUUUUUCUUGGCGGUUCUCUCAUUGCCUGGAAGACGAAGAAACAGAUUGCAGUUUCCCGUUCGAGUGCUGAGGCUGAGUUGCGAGCCAUGGCUCUUUUGACGGCAGAGGUGACUUGGUUACGGUGGUUACUUCAGGAUUUUGGCGUUUCUGUCACUACACCGACUCUGCUCUUAUCUGACAGUACAGGUGCUAUUAGCAUUACGCGCGAUCCUGUGAAGCAUGAGCUCACCAAGCAUAUUGGUGUUGAUGCUUUCUAUGUGCGCGCUGCUGUGCAGGAUCAGGUUAUUGCUCUUCAGUAUGUGCCUCCGAGUUACAGUUGGCAGAUUUCCUGACGAAGGCCCAGACUAGAGCACAACAUGGCUUUUAUCUCUCCAAACUCAGUGUUGUUCCUCCACCAUGAGUUUGAAGGGGGGUGUUAGAGUUAUAAUAUAGAUCAUGUACCCCUUUGUAUUUAUCCCGUUGUAUAAGGGGUUUUCUGUAUAUGUUCCACACCUGUACAUGUAUAUAUAUCGGUCUAUGGCCUUACGGGAAUACAAGUUGCUUAUUCCUAACAGUAAAUACCAAUUAUAAAUAGAAUAAUAGAUUAGUAACAGUCAAAGACAAGGGGCGCAAUUCAAGCAUGGAAUUCUUGUGGCAUACGACCUUAUGACAAACCUCCAUGACAACGGAGGCAAAACUCUCCAUUCCAGUAGACCGUGUUGCAACAGGGCGUGCCAUACAUCAGAGCUGUUGGCCAUGAUUCUGACGGUAGUGUAGAUUGAGCCAUCGCACGCGGUUCAAAACCCCUUUUGCUGAUACAGUUUUGAGCUCGCGCCUUGCAACGGUGUGCGAACGCCGGGGACGUGUGGGAUUGUAAUUGUUCAUGAGACGCAGACGGAGCAUCAAGGUUAAACGUUUGCGAAAUGAUGGCUCGAUCAUCGGGCAAAACCCCAGUCGCCUGAGAUAUUCAUGCGCCUCAGUUGGGCAAAAGGAGAGGUUACAUGCAGGUUAAUUCAGGUACUCUGCCCACAUAAUCAACUGUUCUUGUGCAUUUCAGAGAGAGAGAAAGACUGUUCUCAUGGGACAAGCAGUCAUUUCUCUUCGUUUAAAUCCCCCUUAGCUCGCUUUACAUCGCCAGUGCACCAGACGGUUUAUUACCGGCCGAUAUUGACAAGUGAGGCCUCACAAUCAAGCAGUAUAUAAAUACAAAUAAAUAUACGUGACGCGCAUCCUAUACAGCAACACUAUGCACACUUCACUGUACAACACACCACGCCUCUUCUCGGGCCGUCGUCAGUCCGAGCCGCCCCCGCCGCAGCACAGCUCCGAGCAGCACUCGAAGCAGCCGAGGAAGGAGAGGGCGGCGCACAUCUGCACCAGCACGAUGGCGCACCGGUCGUUCAUCUUGCUGCAGCAGUUGAUGAAGCACAUGCAGCAGCAGCAGCUGUCCGCCACGCGGCCGCAGCAGCCGCCGACCGCCUUCCCGAACAUCUCGAAUUUAUCCGGCGCCCUUGUGUCACCGAACCCCGAGGUUAGGUUCUCCGUCGUCGCCGGCACGUUGCCGAAGCCGAGUGUCAGGCCCUGCAGCGGUGUCGCUGAAGGCUCCUCUGGUUUCUUUGGUUUCCGUUUUCCCUGCAUAAGGGCAGCAGCAAGCUUGAUCACACGUUCUCUGAACUUUCUUUGAAGACACUAGAAUGUCUGAAGAAUUGCGUUAAUAGGCAAUGCAGUAUUACUGAGUUCUAAGCGAGACCUGCUCCGUUUGUUUUCUAGAUCGAAUUUAAUCUUUGAUUAUUCUGAGUUGGCAAUAUCAACCGAGACAUAAUGAAGAAGGAUGAAUCUGUUUGGACAAUAUGAUUACCUGUUGUGCUGGAUCUAUUUUUUCCAUGAUGGUUUGAAGUAGGACCGUCCGUGUGUACUCCGAAGGAAUGCCAUUUUGUAUGCUCAUUUUCGCCACCUGUUUGUUCAAAUAAUGUGAGCGCUGGAGCAGAUUUUAGAAACAAUGUUAUUCAUUAAGGUGAAUAUUCCAACUUUAAGCUUCCGGGCACAUCGCAAAAGAUAAUUUCAAGCAAGGAUAUAAACUUUGAUUGCAGUAAAAAGAACGAAAUGACUUCCGCAGAGAAAAGAAAGUUUGAUGUCCUAGAAUAUGCAAGAGUAUGCCGCGCCUUACAUAGAGCUGCUUUGAGUUCAUCUUGCUUUCCUACAUGCUCCCACUCACCCACUUCUCAAUUCAAAAUACCUUCCUGAAGUAGACUGGCUUUUAACCCAAAACCCACCCCCACCUGCUCAAUUUUAGGCAGAAAACUCCCAAUCUCAGUAAAUUCUCUUUGAUUUCUCGUCUUACCUGCCGACCUCUGGCGAGAUUCCGGCAACAAUUUUUAGGGCAAGGGAUAUCGCUUAGUGACUUGUAGUGCUCAACUAGCACUAGGGCUCUGCUUCGACUCUGACACAACUGAGUCACAUAUCCCUAUUUCUUUAAUCCGGCUACACUGCUGUAGUAACCAAACUGGACUCUAACUGUGCUUUUUUUUUAGAAAAGGAGGAUGACCCCCUGCCUCUGCAUCUGGGCGAUGCAUACGGCCACUCUAACUGUGCUAAUAACAUCACAACACUACAAGUACGCGAUAACCAUGUCUUGUGUUUAGUCAUCCUCUCACAUUUUGCUAUAAUUUAUUCUCUAAUCUUGACAUCGAGUUCAGUGCAGUGGAGUACCCUUAAAGUAACCACUUGAACAUUGUCAUAUCAAGUUAAUACCUAACACUAACAGGCAGAGCUUAAUUUAAGAAUGUGAAGACAGAAUCAGAUGUGAUGAGAGGUAUUAGCCCAGAAUAUACGUUACCAUUUGCUCCAGUUGCUUGUUUUCAGAAAGCCAUGCUUUUGCUGUUAGAAGGUCCAUCUGUUGCUUUGCCAACACCUGAAUUUGAAAAUAAAAUGGAUUAUAAAAUUUUGAGUAAUCUUUCACAUAAUAUUUCCGAGUUACUACCCUCAACAACAAUUCCACAAGCUUACUAUUCGACGCACACUUAGAGCACAUGUUGAGCUCAACGGCUCUGUAAUCUUGUUAGGACAACAAUGGUUCUAAAUUCUUAUAUGCAACUAUUGUUUUCAAGUCAGACAAGUCGAGCCAAGGCACCACCCAACUGGCUAAGUGACUAGUCAACCACCAGUCAGUGCUACAAGGAUUACGAGUUGACGAGUCGAGCCGUGUCUCCAGGAUACCAACUCAUGGACUAGCCGCAGACUCGCAGUACUGGAUAGUCGUAACUAGUCACAGCUAGUCGAGGUAUUCAGUUGGCAGGCAAGUGCUGACUUAGACUAGUCGACCGACUGUUAUUGCCUAAUAGUCAGGGAGUUCAGGCCAGCAGGAGGUUUCAAGUCACGUAGUGUUGCCUAGGAUUACUUUUAGUCGGACAUAUAUUUUGGGGUUUCUAACUGACAACUCGACUACUAGUCGGAGGCUCGGAGCUAGCUGGUAAACCAGCCGACGAGUCAUUUUGACUUCAUCUGCUAGCCGAGUCGGUUUGGCAAAACUAGCUAGGUGAAUAAUAGCGGACCAGUCAUCGAUUUAAAAACAAUGCUAAUGUCUAGUUUUUGUCGCCCUCUCCUUGUGUCUGGUCAUUGCGACGAUAAACAAUGGUCUUGGUGCACAAAGUGAAGGGUGACAUAUUUUAUUUAAUUGAUUGCUAUGCCAUUCACUCCAUGGACAGUAAAUCCUUUCAAAAAAUCCAUGGUCAGUAAAUACUUCCAGAGAUGUUCCAGACAAAUUUUACCAUUUUGGUAAGCUGACGUGAUAUCUCGUUAUUAUAACUGCCAGUUGGGGUCAACAAGAUGCUUUAGAUUGCAUAUGCAAGUAACUACCGGAGUUUCUCGUUCGUAAAAAAGAACUACUGAAGUUCCUCAGCUAUUAGAACAAAGUGUGAAAAACUUACUUUGUCAAGAGGUAUGUCCUUUAUAUGUUGGACCUUCAAUUCAAUCGAUAUCUUACUCAUGUCAGACAAAUAGCCCUCAGCAUAAAGAGUCUCCGGCAGUUCACCUCGGAAUCUUCCAGAUACAAAUAAUGGAUAUUUUGCUGAAAUGUCAGGAAUAUAUUCACAAUCCACCUGAAUGGGGAAAAGGUUCAAUUGUAAGAGACAUGGAUGAUCCAGCUAUGCUUAUAUGAAGAAAGAAAGAUAGAUGGUCUUAAAUACCAAAUACCAACCAUCCACGCCUUUAUAUCAGAAGAAAAUGAGCAAAUGCAGGAGGGCAUUUAUUUCAUAAAAUUAAAGAUGCAACAUGCUGUUGAGUGCUCCCAAAAUAAGCAGUCAACUGAAUACCCCAAAACACAGAAGCACUUUAUGCCCCCUCACUCUCCCUAUCUCCCUCUCCACUCAGCAUUUACACACAACUUACUACAAAGUGUUUUACUAAUAGUACAUGCAUAUGUCACCACAAGAUUAAUAAUAAAUGACUGUCACAUGUUGCUUUUUUGUGACAUACUGACAUGGCUAAAAGGUGACAGCCCGACAGGUUUGCUGGGAUAGAACUCACUUCAAAUUCUUGGGUAUGCUUUGUGACAUCAAUUGAAAUGUCUGCCACGAUUGUGGAUGAAGCUUUCUGGAACCAUUGAAGUAUUCGACCCUCAAUUGAUCCUGGUGUCAAAAAUCAGAAUGAAAAACUUCAGUUUUGCAAAGUAUAGCAUUGGACUUUAGAAAAAACCCUGCAAAUUCUAGUACAACCAAGACACUUAUAAACAAUUAAGUUUACUGCACAUCAGAGAUGCUGGAUGAAAUAGAAAAAAACAAAUAAGUCAAAACUUGUGCUUUAUAAAAAGCCAUAGAACUAAUUUGCCAACUUACUAAAUCAUAUGAUUCCAUAAUGCAACAUGCUGUUGAGUGCAAAACUGAACAGGAACAAAAUGAUUCCAUACACCUUUAAAUCAUCUCAUCAAAUUCCAGUCUCUGCUCAGCAUGAAUUCUAAUAAGUUUGUACAAUCAAUAUGCACGUCAAGUUUUUUGGUUUGACUAGAAAUAAUGGUGAAGGGCCCUAAUGAAAAUGAUCUUAUUAACAAAGUAAGAAUGUGUGCAAGGAGAGGAAUCACAAUGUACACAGUUUUUUUUUUGCGAGAAUCACAGUGUACACAGUUUAUAAACCGAAAACCUAAGUUGGGAACAACAACAAAACCUGUAGUCCCAAACAAGUUGGGGUCGGCUAGAGCUGAAAUCCGUAAGAUUGUCCUAGCCGGAACUUGCCAAAGUUGGAUCAUUAGAGCAUAAUGCAGAGUUUUGAGUUUCAGUAGUGCGUAGAACAAAACACUGCCUGGUUCGAGGAUUAAGGGGGCAAUUUGUUCGUACCUGUAUCAAACGCAGCAUCGUAAUGCCCCUUGCCAAUUGAUGCCAACAUCCGCAAGAAAUAGUGGUUACAGUAUGAACCUAAUAUUGUUUCAAAGGGUAAGUACAAAUAAUAAAAAACUAUUUCGGGGUAAAAAAAUUGGCAAUCAUACAAGUAAAAUAAAAUAUUGAUGUCUCCAAUAUCAUCCCUCUUUACUGAACAAACUUGAGUAAUCCAAAAGGAUUUACACAUAAGAAUGGAUACGUAAGAGAAUGAAGUUAGAUGUAUUUUUAACAUGGGAAUGAAUAACUUUCAAUGGUGCAACCCCUGACGUUCGUCGCCUCCUACAUGUCAUUCAAGACGAGUGCCGGGCCUGGUCCGGGGCGGGUGCCCUGGGAUUGCUCAAUCUGAUCCCAGGAUAGUACUUGUGUGUGUGUUGUUUUGGGUGUCCACAAAAUCAAACAGUUGUUUCCUUUCAGUAUAUCUUAGAGCAAUAUGUUAAGUCGUAAAUAAGAAAAAUCAUAUUUGCUAUUACCUAGUCCAAAAGUGGAAAUCCGAGGGGAAAUAGAUCCUUUGUUUGUGAGCUGAGUUUUCACAGUGCGACAGAUAUUCCGUUCAUCCUCAACUGAACCAUCGGUCACAAGAAAGAUUUGUGGAAGUGCGCCAUCAGAGUUUGACAGCAACGCCAAUGCCUUACAGCAUGAGAGAUAAUGUGAGCACUGAAGGUGGCAUGAAUCAUAUAUAAAUGUCAACUGGUAUAGUUUUCCAAAUAUUGUACCUCGGUUAAAGGAUGCAUGAUGUCAGUGCCACCCUGGGCGACGAAAUUUAAGUUCAUCCAGUUUAUUGCAUUCUCUGUUGUUUUGCCAUUUACUUUCUCCAAACAGGAUGAGAAUGAAUGAAGUUCAUCAUUAAAUGUUACUAUGUUGAAGUAAUCUCCUUCCUCAAGCUCAGAAACAGCAGUUGAGAUGGCAUUCUUAACAUUCUCAAUAGGCUUUCCUUGCAUGCUUCCACUUGUAUCAACAAUAAACACAACUGCCUUUCUGAAGAUCUAUCACAUAACUCGAAUGAGAUAAAUAUCCAUUCACAGAAAUAAUUUAUGAAGCACAAAAGCAGAUAAAAAAUAUUGUGUCAUGUUGAAUUAGAGCUACUCAUGAGAAACUUAGUCAAGUACCUUAAAUACUUUCAGUGAGUUACAAACUUUAAGUAAAGAUGUUUCAGUAAAGUUAUCUUCAAGCAUCAAGUGAUUUUUGCACUGACAUAGUUUAGUUACUAGUGUCGAGAUAACAAGACAAUAAGUAAAAGGAACUACCUUCCUUUUCUGGUUAUUUCCAGGUAAGAGAAAAAUGCUGAAAAUGUCUCUGUCAUCAUAGUCACGUAAUGUUGAGCGCUGCACAAGCACUCCACCGGACACAUCACCUGAGUAAACCUACAGACAUGAACGAUGCAUUAGGUAAUGACACUGAUCUCAAUGGCACCCAUGCAGUAAAAGCUGUAGUCACCAUGUUAACAAAAGUUAUUAAUUAAAUAAAGUGUUUAUUGGAAAAGGUUGGUCCUUCAACCCUAAAAUCUGAAUCUGUAUGAUUUGGGACCUCAAACAAAUGGAGAGGGCCCACACUCAUUGGCAGGAGUCUCAUCGGACCGCACUCAGAAAAGACAGCACCGUGCAGUCUCGCCUACUGAUGUGGCAGUGAUGUGGCCCACUCCCUGUAUUUGUUUGGUACAAUGUUUUCCUUCGUUGCAUUCUUAUAGCAUGCUCAUGGUUUUUGAGUCGCUGUAUAGUCGCCGACUAAUCGCCAAGUCGUUUUCCAAAAAUCAGGGCGACUCGCGACUAUACAGCAACUUAUGGCGACUAUACAGCGACUUUCGUCGACUAUACGCCGAGCCGCAGGGCUCGCGGCGACUCGCCAAGUCGCGACUCAAAAACCUUGAGCAUGCUAAUGACUGAACUACUAAUAUUAAGGUAUUAUUAUGUCGUGUACUUGGGUUAGGAAGACUGGAAGAGGCUCUCGCCCCUGGAUGCAAGAUAGAAGAACUGUUCUUCUAGAUCUUGCUUGCUUUACUCCUCACAGGGGGUCCUCUUUACAUAGAGGUCUAACAAUCCAAUCUAAGUAACAAAUCACAGAUAUUAUCUCCAAUUGGUUUGAGUCCCAAGCUAAAAAAUAUAUUCCUAAUUUAAAUGAUAAACUUUGUAACUCAGAGAUCAAGGGGAUCCUCUCCCUAACUCGCUGCUGGAUGGGCCAUGUACUAUAUAAAUUCAUAUUUGAACACAUAGCCCACAUAUUGCUUUCAAUAUUCGCAUAUGAAAGGCCGUGGAACAUAAUGAGCACAAAAUUAUUUUAGAAGUACCGAAGAGAAGGUAAAGUUAACCAAAUAAAUAGAUUACUGGAGAAUAACUUACACUAUAUGAAAAGGUGAAAUCUUUGAUAGACCAAUUCUCAACCACAGCUUCAUGCAAGAAAAACAAUUUCUCACCCUGCCUGGUUUUUUCCUGAAAAUGCACAAGAACAUCUCAUGAUAACCAUGACAUCGGACAGAUUACCAAAUGGUGCUUACGAAAAAGUUAAUUACCUUCAAGGGAUGGCUGGUCCCCUGCAAUAAAACCUCUUUACUCACACCACUAUUCACAGUUAACUGAAUUUUCUCCUUUUUUGUGAAAAGUUUAGGUAAAGGGUUCACAUAAUGUGGAAACCGAAACGGAAUAUCAACAGAAAACUGUCCAUUAUCAUACAACAACUUCUGUGACCAUCUAAUUGUGGCAAAGAUGUCUUCUCCUCCUACAACCUUGGCGCAAUGAAAGAAAAUAGUUAGCACAGGCAGAUAUGGCUGCUGAAAGCUUGAAUCUUGACAAGCUAGCAGUUGGGAAACUGAUGACUACAAAAUAAGUACCUGUGGUAUUGUCAAUUGAAAAAACUGGCUCUUCAGAAUACCACCACUCUCAGUUUUAACAAUCUUCACAGGACUGUUACCAUCUACAUCAACUACAUGAGUAUUGUACGAUUUUUUCCCAACAGUAACCUCAGCGCCUAGAAUUGAACCCUGUUAGCCAAACUGUUAUUCUUAGACUGAGAUCACCAGUAAAUCAAAAAAAUAACUGCAUUCCGGAUAUAUACACAUAUGCAUUAAGAAAUAUUGCAACAUAAAACAGAAUAGCAAGUGUAUGUUUGCUUUUUAAAAUGCAUACAGUGAUGACUGACAUCACUUGCACUGUUUGCAUUCAAUGUUGACUAGAGAAGUAGUAGAGGUUCUGUUUCGUUGUUGUAAACAUCAAGUUGUUAAGUGAUGAAUAUGUCACCACCAUUGUGGUGGUGUAGUUAUCUGGCUAUUCUAACUAAUAUUACACUGUGGUCGUGAUUUAGUUAGCAUGGUGUUAAUAAACAUAGGUCGUAGUAGCAAUGACCAACACACAAGUGAUGCAGUUACCAACGUGUUCUAGUAAACAAUAACCAUUAUAGAUGUGCGUUCUUACCAAUUUAUUCAAUUCAAAUUAGCAAACAAAUUUGAUCAUUGCAUUUGCCCAUCAUGGUAGGGUUACCAGAAAUGCUACAAUGACUAUUGACUACUCAUGAUUUGAUGACUACUCGCAAUGCUCAACAUGACUUGUUGAACUGCUAUUCUUUUCUCACUGUUUAUGCACAUAUUUCCAGGUGAUUUCCACCCUUGUAUUCAUGGCCGCAUGGACAACAUCUCAAUAUGUAUUCAGUACUAUGUAACUUCAUAAAGAACAUAAUUUUUUUGUGAAUAUUUCUUUAGGAGAGCCUCUGCUGUAACCUGGAACAGAUUAGGAAUAUCAAACAUGUAGCAUGACUGCUUCCUAAUAUCUUGUCGCCACGCUCUUAUCUAAGACGCCAUAUUUUUUAUGUUCAUAUGCAGCAGAAAUGGAGCAUGUUUGAAGUUCCAUGGUUGUUUGAGAGACAAAUGAUGCGUCAGUAACGGGCAUACCUAAACCGAAUUACAAUCCAGAAUACCAGUCUGAUCAAUGUGUUCAGUAAAAUAGCUAAAUUAUCAGAUAGACCAAGGAAAAAUAAGGCAAAAUUGAGAGCCGAUACGGGAUGCGGGCUGAAAGGUUGGGGCACUUCAUGUUGUCAAGUGGGACAGAUGUUAGUGGGCAGGUGGCCAAAACAGAGGAGACGCAGGAGAAUACAGUCAUGCAUUAAGCCUGUUGCGCAUGCUGUCACGCCCUAUUUGUGCCUAAGUUCAAUAAAUCAAAUAACAGAAACCUGAAAAAUAGAUAGAAAUCAAGCUUCCAUGAACUGCUCUCAGCCUCUCACUUCUGAGCUUAGACUAAAGUCUUUGCCAACUUACACCCAAAUGCAACCAAAACAACAGAACCCUAAAGCAUUUAGUAAACCUGAACAUAAAAAACAAAGACCUAGACCAUACAAAUGCACUACUUAAUAUGCCAUUCAACUUACAUUUCUCCAAAACAGCUGAAAGGAAUGUUCUGUUUGGGCCACCGGAAGAUAUUUGACUACCACGAACGGAAAUGACAAGUUAAAAAACAAUGCACUUCCUAAAAAUAGUAUGCCUGUACCAACUAAAGCAUUUAGUGGACAAGUGUACAAACUACAAGCAGAGUUAUCCCUAGAAAGUCGGGUUACUUUCCUAGUCCAAACGGAAUAUUUCUUUCUUGAUGAAGCUUAUUUCCAUGAUUGGUAAGCAAGGAAUUGGCCUCGCUUGCUUCCAAAACAACGAUGGAGCCCACAGCCAGCAGAGAGCUAGCUGCGUUCAAGAGCAAAGAGCUCCAAACGUAAUCGUCUAUAACGGCAACCCCAAUGUUCCACCAAUCAUAACUAUAAUGUAUAGUGACGCGCAUUCGCAAGUGGCUGGCUCCAUGUGCGGUCCAGCGCAAAUGAUUUAUGCGCACAGCAAAAUUCAUGGGCCCCAACCACCUAAAGCAAAGCCAAAUUAACUAGAGAAUAACCGCAAACUUUAUCGGCAUAAUCAUUCCAGCGCGUAACGGCAACAAAAUCAGGCACAGCAAAUUCCAAUCGACGGCGAAAUAGCAAAGGGGGAGGGCGGAGGGUUCGAAUCGGGUCACCUCCUCGCCCAUGGGCACGACGAGGCGGCAGUCGCAGUCGCGGCUGCGGGUGAGGCAGUGCAGCCACCAGCGCGCGACGAGGGUGACCUCGGCCGUGGCGCACCCGGCGGCGCAGUCCACCCGCAGCUCGACCUCGCGCAUCUGGAGCGGGAUGAGCGCGGGCGGGCUGAGCCGGCCGUAGACGUGGGGCUGGUAGCUGGGCACGUCGGGGCUGUCGACGGCGGCGGGGUCCGUGACGACCGCGUACGCCAUGGGGGCCACGGGCAGCAGCGACGACGCCGCGGCGGCGUCCGGCGCGCCGUAGCGGUCCAUCCCGGCGUGCGGGCGCGGCGGGGCCGCACCGCCCGGGAGGACGAGCCGCUUGGAGAGCCUGAGGCCGUCCUCCACCGCGCGCUCGAAGUCCUCCUCCAUGGCUGCUGCUGGAGGCCUGAAGCGGGGGAGAGGAGGAGGCGGUGGAAAUUAAUGGCUGGGGAUUCGUGGACAAGUGGGCGGAAGUGGGAGGGGGCUCGGUUUUUGGUGUGGUUUAGUGGGGAAAUCAUGAGCUGUUGGGGUGGAAGACGAGCCAGAUAGCGGGGGCAGCUCCGCUGCUGUGCCUCGCGGAGGUGAGAUUACCGGGGGUGUCCGUUUGUCUCUCUCAACUUGUGCUGUGGUUUGCAGGGACUGGACGGUUAUUUGUCUUGUUUUUUCCGUUUGUCUUCGUGGUUUCUGAUGCCUGGUAGUGGAGUAUAAAUUCGAUUAUCUUUAGCUUUAACCUUUUUUGGGGAAAAUUAACCUUUAAUCUUACAUAUGUCAUAUACACUAUUAAUCACAGGAGAGUUGGUCAUGACAAAUGAUUGACUCAUUGUUGUGGUAGAAAAGCAUGCCUAGUUUGUAGCGAAAAUUGCUUUUCGAGCUCGCCCUCCAUGGUGGCCGGUUUUAAAAAAAAUCAAAAUUCAACAAAAUUUAUGUUUUUAUUUGUCAUGAAUGGAGGCAUAAACACACAUGUGUGUAAGUUUUCAUAACGAAAUACGUUGAAAUGAGGGUUGUGUAAAAAAGACAAGUUUGUGACUUUUCAGCACAUGAUACUAUUCAUCCCAAAAGUCCAUGAAUUUGUUCUUUUUGCGUAGAUCGCAUCUCAAGGUAUUUCAUUAUGAGAUUUUACACACAUACACAUCACAUUCUUAUAUAUUUGUAUAAAUUUUUUCAGGGUUUUUUGAAACACCAAAAAGUAUGAAUUUUGAUUUAUUUUUUCAAAAAAUUCGGCCUCCAUGGAGGCCGAGUUCCAAAAUGCCGUUCUCUGUUUGUAGUAUAUAUAAACAUGAUUUUUGUGAUACAGAGUUCCUUUUUCAUAAAUAUUUGUCGAGCUAUGUUUGUGUGGGACUUAAUUUCGAACAUCUUGUCAUGAGAUACACAGUGAUGAAAUCAAAUUUUGAUUUGGACAAUCGUGCUGAAAGAAAUAUGAUUUUAAAAUUUCAUAAUGGAUUUGCAUGUUAUUGAUCGUCAUCUGUUUUGGCUCUAUGCUAUUUUCCUUAUUUUGACAUGUGAAGACAGAUGGGAAUCACACUGGCAUCUCUACCCACAUACUAUAUUUAAUACUCCCUCCGUCUUAAAAUAAGUGACUCAACUUUGUACUAAAGCUAGUACAAAGUUGAGUCACUUAUUUAGUACAAAGUUGAGUCUAUUUAGUAUAAAGUUGAGUCACUUAUUUUGGGACGGAGGGAGUACUAAAAAGAGAAAAAUACUUCCUCCUUUUCAUCAUUCGUCAGCCGUUGGUUUGCACACAUAAACCCAACAACAUAGCACACACAUGGUCACCAAGACCAUGCACCACACAUGACGCAACACCAACAUGCACACGAAGCAAUAACAACAACCAAAAAAUGUGAAAGACCUAAGCACACACGAGAGGCUAGGGCGCGCGACCAAGAGAGUGAGAUGAGGCAACCGAUUGCUCAUUGUCUUGCAGUUGGUGUGGAGGCGGAGAGUGAGAGGUUUGGGGUGCCUCCUCACGUCGAUUUUGGUGGUAGCCUAGCCGAGGCGGGAGUUACCCAUGUCGAUGAUGCAAGACAGAGGACUCCGAUGAGCGGUGGCUCGUACCUUAAGCGUGAGGUACGUUUGGGUGACAAGGGACAACAAAACAUCAACGGCGUGGGCGGGUUGGGCGGGCUCGAUGACGGAAUGCAUCUUUGCCUUGAGUUAUGCCUCCCGCACACACGUACGCCGCCAUUGCUUCCUUUCCUCAGUCAUGGCCUUUGCGCACACCUCUUGUAUGUCUUCUCGAAUGGCUCAUGUGUGUGCCGCCCCCUCAGCCGAGGUAAGGGGAGAUGGGAGACCGACGCCGAGAGGGGGAUAGGGGCUCCGCCGAGGCGCCGGCCAAUAGCGAGGCCAGGGAGGUGGCGUCGACAAGUGUGAGAGGAACAAUCGGAAAGCCGAGAAAAGGAUAAGACCGAGGAUAAAUGGCCCACCAUAAUAGUUGGUAGAAAGAGGAAAUACAAUGCAAAACGCACACAAGUACCGUGCCACCCUCCCCCGCGUUUGAACAUAAUGAAAAGUAAAGUAUUAUUACAGUAAAACUUGUGCGUGUUUGACAAUUUUAUAGAAAAAAAUCAAUGUCUAUAGUACCAAAAUUGUAUCAUUAGAUUAAUCAUGAAAAGUAUUUUCAUAUUUUAUUUAUUUGAUAUUGUGGAUUUGAUAUUUAAUUCUACAAUACGGGUCUAUCAUGAAAUUGUUUGACUUUUAUGAAAUUUAAUACACUUUGUAUUUUGAAGUGAAAGGCGUAGUUAUUACGUGUUUGUAACACUCAGUUCCCAGUAAGAUAUGCGCAAGUCAACAGAAAAUUCAUGUACGUGUCCAUAAAGUAAUUUGAGUUACGACGGUCAGAGUUCAAUAAAAUCUCUAUCUCUACCUAAUAUGGGAAGGAUUUUCUUCCUCCAUCCAUUGCCCUCGCAAGCCUCACGGGCCACGCCACUUCUGCACGCCCAUGCAAGCUCUCUCCUUCAUGUUCCGGUUCACUCCGACGCCGGCUCUCCUCUAUUGGAUCCCACACCAAUUGUAACGCGUUUUUUUGGUUCGUUGUUGCAAGUUCGUCGACAUCGGGGUGGGAGUUCUGGUGCAUGACGGUCGUUGCUGAGAUAUAGUCUGGAUGCUGUCAUGCCACAAUGAAGUUCUAGUUGGCGUUUUACCGGAUUGUAGUCAGAGCCGAGGACGACACGGUCAUGUCCAAUGUAAACCAAUAAACAUCUAAAUUUAGCAUUGUUCACCAGAUCAAUUGACUUGGGAUCAUAUCCCAUACUCCAAACUAGAGUUUCAAAUAUGAUACCUUAGAGCAUCUCUAGCAGACCCCGCAUCCCGCCAGCCCGCAAAACGCGUUUGCAGUUCGCGGAAAACGGCCUUUGCGAGCCGGCACGGACGGCCGCAGAUGUAGACCCCCCAAACGGACCCGUAUAAAAGUAUAUUCGCGGAAUAUGCUUUUUUACGAAUCGGCUUUGUGGGGUCUGCUCUUGCGCCGCUGCAUCCCGCAUCCCACCGGCCCGCAAAUAUCAAAUCCAACAUAAUACAACAAACAGAAGCAAACUAAAUAAUUAUUCAAUACCAACAUAAUACAACAAUCAUCCACAUUACAAAUAAUUAUUCAAAUCACCGAAGCAAACUUAAAUAAUGCAAUACAAACUUGUCAUGAAUACAAAUACAAAUGAAUACAAAAAUGAGUUACUGUCCAGCCCUUUGCCAAUGGUGUUCAAUGAGAUCCUCCUAAAGUUGAAAGUGUGUGUUUGCAUUUUCAAUCUCCUUGUAUGUUUGAAGAAAAGCUCUAAUGCGGUUAGGGUCUCUAUCUGGUUUGACACGGCUACCCACAUUGUCGUAGAAGAAUUCCAAGUUCAUUCCUCUCAUCUUCAAGAAUCAUAGCAUGUCAUGAUAUUUUUCAAGGUUCUCUUAUCCCAAAAACGAGCAGAACCACGAACAAUGGCAAACCUAGAUUGCAAAACCCCGAAUGCUCUUUCAAUGUCUUUUCGGGCUGCCUCUUGCACCCUUGCAAAUUCACAAUGUUUUCUAGUUUUGGGAUCUUUGAUGCUCUUGACAAAGGUGCACGAAGGAGUGUAUAUACCAUCUGCAAGAUAGUACCCUUUUGUGUAUUCAUGCCCAUUAAUAAUGUAGUUGCAAGCAAGAGCAUCACCACUAGCAAGCCUAGCAAACAAAUGAGACCGUUGCAACACAUUGAUUGAAGGAAAUAUGCCCUAGAGGCAAUAAUAAAGUUGUUAUUUAUAUUUCCUUAUAUCAUGAUAAAUGUUUAUUAUUCAUGCUAGAAUUGUGUUAACCGGAAACUUAGUGCAUGUGUGAAUACAUAGACAAACAGAGUGUCACUAGUAUGCCUCUACUUGACUAGCUCGUUAAUCAAAGAUGGUUAAGUUUCCUAGCCAUAGACAUGAGUUGUCAUUUGAUGAACGGGAUCACAUCAUUAGAGAAUGAUGUGAUUGACAAGACCCAUCCGUUAGCUUAGCACUAUGAUCAUUUAAUUUGUUGCUAUUGCUUUCUUCAUCACUUAUACAUGUUCCUAUGACUAUGAGAUUAUGCAACUCCCGAAUACCGGAGGAACACUUAGUGUGCUAUCAAACGUCACAAUGUAACUGGGUGAUUAUAAAGAUGCUCUACAGGUGUCUCUGAUGGUGUUUGUUGAGUUGGCAUACAUCGAGAUUAGGAUUUGUCACUCCUAUUGUCGGAGAGGUAUCUCUGGGCCCUCUCGGCAAUGCUCAUCACUAUAAGCCUUGCAAACAAUGUAACUAAUGAGUUAGUUACGGGAUGAUGCAUUACGGAACGAGUAAAGAGACUUGCCGGUAACGAGAUUGAACUAGGUAUAAUGAUACCGACGAUCGAAUCUCGGGCAAGUAACAUACCGAUGACAAAGGGAACAACGUAUGUUGUUAUGCGGUUUGACCGAUAAAGAUCUUCGUAGAAUAUGUGGGAGCCAAUAUGAGCAUCUAGGUUCCGCUAUUGGUUAUUGACCGGAUAUGAGUCUCGUUCAUGUCUACAUAGUUCUCGAACCCGUAGGGUCCGCACGCUUAACGUUCGAUGAUGAUCGGUAUUAUGAGUUUAUGUGUUUUGAUGUACCGAAGGUAGUUCGGAGUCCCGGAUGAGAUCACAGACAUGAUGAGGAGUCUCGAAAUGGUCGAGACAUAAAGAUUGAUAUAUUGGACCAUGUUGUUCGGACACCGGAAGUGUUCCGGAGAGUUUCGGAUAAAACCGGAGUUCCGGGUUACCGGAACCUCCCCCGCGAAGUUAUGGGCCUUAGUGGGCCUUAGUGGAGAGAGAGGGCUGCGGCCAGGAGGUGGUGCGCGCCCUCCCCCCCAAGGGGGGUCCGAAUAGGACAAGGGAAGGGGGCACGACCCCUCUUUCCCUCUCCCUCUCCCUCUCCUUCCUUCUCCUCCUAGUUGGACUAGGAAAGUGGGAAACCUACUCCUACUAGGAGUAGGAUUCCUCCCCCCUUGGCGUGCCCCUUGUGGUCGGUCGGCCUCCUCCUCCCCUCCUUUAUAUAUGGGGGGGGGGCACCCCAUAGACACACAAGUUGAUCUUUAGCCGUGUGCGGUGGCCCCCUCCACAGUUUUUCACCUCGGUCAUAUUGUCGUAGUGCUUAGGCGAAGCCCUGCAUCGAUAACUUCAUCAUCACCGUCACCACGCCGUCGUGCUGACGAAACUCUCCCUCGGCCUCAGCUGGAUCUAGAGUUCGAGGGACGUCAUUGAGCUGAAUGUGUGCAUAUCGCGGAGGUGCCGUGCAUACGGUACUUGAUUGGUUGGAUCGCGAAGACGUUCGACUACAUCAACCGCGUUACUAAACGCUUCUGCUUUAGGUCUACAAGGAUACGUGGACACACUCUCCCUGCUCGUUGCUAUGCUUCUCCUAGAUAGAUCUUGCGUGAUCGUAGGCAAUUUUUUUGAAAUACUACGUUCCCCAACAUUGAUAUCAUUGAGAGUGCCCGGCAUACCAAAGAAGCAAUGCCAAAUCCAUAAAUCCUCGGAUGCUACGGCCUCUAGCACAAUUGUUGCAUCACGAGACUUGCCACAAUACAUUCCUUGCCAUGCCUUUGGGCAAUUUUUUCAAGUCCAAUGCAUACAAUCAAUGCUACCUAGCAUGCCAGGUCAACCUCUCCUCUCAUUAGAUGCCAUCAAUUUCUUUGUGUCAUCCUCGUUGGGUGCCCGAAGAUACUCAGGACCAAAGACACGGAUGACCACUUUUGCAAAUCUACGCACUGACUCAAUUGUAGUAUCUUCACCAAUGCGAAGGUACUCAUCGGCAUAGUCAGCCGGAACGCCAUAUGCAAUCACCCGCAUAGCUGAGGAGAUUUUUUGAUAUGCACUAAAUCCCUUCAACCCCGCAACAUUUGUUCUUUGAGUAAAAUACCGGCAAUUUGCCUCGCAAGCUUGAACAAUUUUCACAAAGAGGGAUCGGCGCAUUCGGUACCUUCUCCGGAAGAGGUGCGGUGGAUAUGUUGGCUCCUCCGCGAAGUAGUCUUGCAUCAACAUCUCAUUCCCAAGAUGGCGAUUCCGAGGAAUGCAAAGACGCCCGACGGUCGAUCCUCGCCGCCUCUUCCAGUUCUCGUCUUCGUGCUCCUUCAUGGCAAGUGCCAUCACUAAUGUCUGCUGCCGAAAGGUCGCAAGCAUGGUCCCAACAUCCGAGUCGUCCGAAUCGGAGAGCAAGAACUUCUCGCACGGGCUCAAUUCCAUCUACAUGGAUAAGAAUCGCACGACGCGUCAAUCAACUAUGCAUACCGCUCGCAAAUAUCACAAAACAAACACUAAUCGGUGGCUCGUGUGGCGGGUGAUCCCGGGCGGCGACGAGGGGCGGGCUCGACGGCGGCGACGACGACGAGGGGCGGCUCUUCUCGCCGGAUCCGGGGGGGUCGGUGCAGCGUAUCGGCGCUGGAGGGUGGGGGACGGCCCCGCGGCGCGAUAUAGCCCGCAGAUUUGGGCGGAAUCGCUGGCGGCAGACGGGCGGAAGAAAAGGCGGGCGGCGGCGGAAGGAGAUGGGGAAAGGCGCGCGGGCUGAAAUGUCCCUCCCGCCAACCGCUUCUCUGGGAUGCGGGGCACCGCAGGGGCGAGGGGGAAACCCGCGUAUUCGCGGGUUGGUGCCGAGAUUUUGCCGCGCCCCUUAAAAAAUUUUGCGGGCCGACCGCGUUUGCGGGGUCUGUUCGGGCGGGAUUUUUCGUGCCGACCCGCAUUUUGGCGAUUAUUUUGCGGGUCGGGCCUUUUUACGGGGUCUGUUAGAGUUGCUCUUAGUCGAUCCAUCAUUCUUGUCAUCGCCAAUGCUUGUUCUGUGACUCAGUUCUUUGGUUAACCAAACCUGAUUAUUGGUAGUUAAUGUUUGCUUGAAAAUGAAACACGGCAGUUAUGUAAUAAGUACAUAGAAAUAGAAGUGCGGGACAUGAAUUGACUUGCACAUCUUAGAUCAAGCAUAAUAGUAGGCUUAUGGCGGACGCGGAUUAACUGAGCUCGAGCUCAUAUGAGCUCGGGUGAGCAAUAAAAUCUGAAAAAAUUGAAAACAAAUUCUAACAAUUCUAAAAAAAUGCGGUAAACUUUGACAAAUGUUUUCAUUUCUUGCAAAGUUUCAUCAUAGAAUGACAUUCGAGGAAGUCGUGAGAAAAAAAAACAGAAUCAAUUCUAUCAUGACUUCCACGAGUGUCAUUUCAAGAUGAAACUUUGCAAGCAUUGUAAAUAUUUGUCAAAGUUUGUCACAAAGAAAAUUCAGUUUUUUUAUUUACUGUUCACAUGAGCUCAUACUAGGAAGGACACUUUCAGCUUAUGGCCUCUUACAGUAAAUACGAAGAAGGAAAAAGAGAAGGUGAAAAAAUGCAAGCUUUAUAGCGAUCUUAUUAUAUGAAUGACUGUAAAUGAUAGCUUCACAGGGUAUGACCACAUACAAAAAUAGUACUCCCUCCGUUUACUUUUGUAAGUCGUUUCAGACAACUCAAAAUGGGCUGUUUUACACAUUGUCUGAAAUAUCUUCAAGGUCUUAUAAAAAUGAACAGAGAGAGUACUAGUAUCAUAUAGCCAACAAGUGACUAUACUCAUCGCCAAAAAAAAAAAAAGAACAAGUGACUAUACUAUUAGUCAUGCUCCUCACCCAAAAAAAAAC
rnacentral:lncRNA from 1 species